AGGGAGGUCAUGGAGAUGGAUUUGUUGCAAUGUAAACUCAAUACUAGUCAGUCAUGAUGCGAGAAUCAGAAACCAGCAUUGAUCUCGAAACUGGUUUUUCCCUCUAUGACUCGAAAGUGGUUGAAUGCGCGGGAUUACGAUUCGCAACGUCGCUUGAGUGCAGUAGUUUAGCUGAAUAUGCCUCGAGCGUCCGAACAAGUAGUUGCAUUUUCUUUGUUUGAACAGAGCCUUCUGUCAACUUAAAAUAUCAAUUGUGAUCACUAAGUCAAGUAAUUAUGAUGGAUCAUGUUCUUGUGGUCAUCAACAUUGAUCUAUGCUUGGAGAUAUAGCCAGUAGACUCGGAAGCACGUGUAUCUGUCGCGUCUAACAUGUUUUUUUUCUUCCCCUACUCACGUAUUUUGCAGCUCAACCUGGAGGUGGAGGCAUGGAGGAUACUGUUAGUUGCGGUCAAAAGCGACCUUACUAUUCUACUAUCGAAGCGUCAGGUGAAGAUCCUGGUGAAGAAGAUGUUGGGGAUGAUUGCAUUCAACAAUCUAAGAAGAGAAGACUUACCUUCGAUCAAGUCAGGUCACUCGAGAAAAACUUCGAGAUUGAGAAUAAACUCGAGCCAGAAAGAAAAAUGCAGCUUGCUAAUGAGCUUGGACUUCAGCCCAGGCAAGUGGCAGUGUGGUUUCAAAAUCGUCGCGCACGCUGGAAAACAAAGCAGUUAGAGAGGGAUUACGAGGUCCUUACCUUGGAUUACAACCGGCUCAAAAGCGAAUUUGAAGCUGUGCUGCAGGAAAAGCAAGAGCUACAGGACGAGGUGAGGGUUCCAUUGGAAUAAGUUUCCUCAGCUUACUAUUGAAAAAAAUUAGGGGACUAUUUCAUAAUCGCUAUAGUCUUAGAUUCGUUGAAUCUACUUACUACCUCCCCCCCCCCCCCCCCCUCUGUAAUCGUGCCAUCGAUCAUGGCCUUCAGCGCGUUCUGGAAAUAUACGAAGGUAUGCCUAUUUUAAGGUGAUUUGAGUGCGGGGUUUUAUCAUUUUAAGCACGUUGAUUUCCAUUGAAAAGAUAGCAGCUAACUGUUUGUUUGUUUGUUGCUUUCCAACCAGAUGGAGUGUUUGACGGAAAAGAUACAAACCGCAAUACCGAAUUCUGCGGAUCCAAUAUUGGAGAAAAGAAAAAGAAUCAUAUCAAUGUCUCAGCCUUCUUCGCUGAAGACAUUCGAAGGUCCUGUGAAAUCGGAAAGGAUAGCCGCCGAAGUUAAUGGCAGGAACGAUGCCCUGACACCGUGCAAGGAGGAGGGUUCCAAGGAGGAGGGUUCCAAGGAGACAAGCUCCGAUAGCAUUUCCAGUGAAAUACUUAACGCGGACAGCCCUCGUACUAUGGAUAGCGGCUCGCUUCUCCCAUUGCCCGAUAGUAUGAGCACAUUUUCACACGUUUGUACAGAGAUGGUAGACUCCAACAUCAUACACAUGAGCGACCAACUCUGCGACCAAAUGCUUUCUCCUCAAGCUUGCCAACUCGUUUCGGUGAAAAUUGAGGAUGGCUCAUAUCAAGACGACUCUUGUAAUUACAUAUUGACACUAAUGGAUUCAAUUGAGGAAAAGGGUUUACCGUGGUGGGACUUUCCAUGAUCAGUGCUCUGCACAAGCAUCGGAGGGAGAUUUUUUUUUUUUAACCAAUUCGACCUUUCAAGCGUCAUGAAGUCGCAUCCACUUCCAUUGUAGCGAUGUAAAGAGUUAAGAUGCGCCGCUCUCGCUGUCGCAACUACAGGACGCACUUCUCUCUCUUCGAGCAUCGUGUACUUCCGUAUUUAAGUCGGACCUUCCGAAUCAGCGGCCGUCGAGGAGCGCCAAUCGCAAGAGCACUUCUUUUCUUGUAACUUGCACAUAUUUAUUAUGGAAAUAGAAAUAAUAAAGUGUUGCUGUUGCAACUCAUUUCGAGGGCGGUAGUCCAAUCCAUCGAAAGAUGUAACAUCACGCCAAAUAUUUUUUCGCUCAACAAUCAGCACUACUUAUAGACAUGCCAUAAAAAAACAAAGGACCCUAGCUGCAAUAUGCAAGCUCGAACCCAUCCAUGGCUGUACUAAUUCAUUUCAGAUGAACUUCACCGAUGUUCAUCAGUGUAUGUUACUCUUUAAAAUAACCUUUGUCUUUUCUCUGAAGACUUGAGAAGCCUAAGCUCAUGUUGAGUUUUGUUUUGUUGCAUUCCUCGCUGCAGAUUCUGGCACUCUCCAGUUCCAAAACUUCUUAUCCUUCAUCUCCGAAACAGUAGCUGUUUUGUCCAUAUUCCCUUCGGUGUUCCGCAGCAUGCAGUGGACAUUCUUCUCGGCGGGAGAAUUUUCUGCCUUGUAUCACGCAUCUGAAAUACGACGUGAGGAUUGUUUGUACUGAUAGUGCGUGCGUGAUUUUGCUUUGAAUUGCGCAGGCACUGGUCCUGUGAGCAUGUUCUUUUAAAGAGAAAAAAACUUCUUUCGUAUUGCGUAAUUCAAUCAAGAUAACAUCCGUGAAUAGAGCGUGAUCUUCCUGCAGGUAGUUUGUCUCUGGUCUCGUAAUGACAAUCUGAAAGCAUCGCGCUCACAGAGUAGACCAGGCAGCGUGGUCAUCCGUUUGAAUGCACCGCACACCACGUGCAAUGCGUCUGGUUAGACUUCACGAGGGCUAUGGUCAGGAGCAUCACGGACUUCUCCUAAUGCCUCCAUUGUGCGACUGCAGCAUUGAUGAGGCUUCCUUGCUAUGAUUUGAGUCUUAGAUUUAUCAAGCAAGGUGCGCGAACGCGAGACGUCAGGACAAAUAAGAACUCGUCCUCUACCGAAGCAUUUUUAAAUUUUUUUUACAGAUUGUUUGGUUGGUCAUCAAUCGUCAACAUUUUCCUUGAAUGUUGACAACAUGACAGUCUUCGGGGAGCUUCUGUAGACUUGAUUUCCAUUCUUCAUUUGUUACAUUGCAUAUUAUACGUCAUAAGAUGAUAAGAGCUUAAAUAGAAGUGGAUCAUCCGAGACUGCGAUAACUCUAAGGUCACUUUUUGAGUAGAUUCUGAAUACAGAGAAGAUCCUGCAGAGUAUGUUUAAAUGAUAUCUCAUUCUUUGUUCUCCGUCUGUCUUGAUAUGGUUAGAUCACUCGGGGACACACAACGAUCGCUAUCCAUAGAAAGUGACUGCAUCGUCUAGAAUCUGUCCCAACACUUUAUACUUGUCUAUUUUAAAAAUUCGUCAGAAUAUUGUGGUUCUCUUUGAAGUCUCGGAAAUCAUUUGGAAGUGGCAUGAAGAAUCGAGGAACAGAUUCUAUUCUGAGCAGUGCUGGCAUAACCAAAGAGGCGCAGAAUGCCACGACAGAGUCGAUUUUUUUCUCUCUACUGAAGAAUCUCGACAAGCUGGGUCCUCAGAAAGGCCGCGUUGCUCCAGUGAAAGUUAACUGUUCGCGAUAUUUCUCAUGGUUCCUUACGAGCUUGAAGGUGAAAGGCUUGUGUCGCUGUGGUACUUCAUGUGGCUGUCUGACGCAAAUCUAUGAUGCAGGGUGCAGUCAGAAGAGUUUAAUUUCUAUCAUUAAACGUUAUCAACACUAUACUGAUAAUAUAAUCGUCAAUUUAUCCCUCGUGCUCCCUUCAGACUUGUGUUUUCGGGGUUUGUGUGAUCGUCACUCUAAACAUUUGCCCCUCAAUGAAGCCAACUGCGAGACUUAUCCUUUCAACCUCUCAGUGUGCUGCACCGGAAAGGUUCGACUGCGUGUGGCAGUGCCAGACCUUUAGCACUGGUACCUGGUGCAGACACUUUUGAAGACUUCAGGCGAAGGUUCUUUCAGAGCAGUAGAUUCAUGUCUGUUAAUUAACAUCAACCUCUCUCAUUAUAAACUUUCUCCAUCGCCACUCAUAGAAGCAUCAAUGCCAGACGUGCAACCUAUAUACGGAUAUCACAUCAACGCUUUCUUUAUAAUUCGCGUGCAUGUGCAAGAACAUCAUACCAGUCUCUUGUCACCAACUGCUGAUCCUGACGUGUCUUGUCCAGCUGAACGAAAUAUCCUGCAACCUCGACUGUGUUAGACCCUCUCGCCAUGGCAGCUUAUGGUAAAGAAUUCUCACUACAAUAUCUAUAUAACGCUCUGACCGCUUCAAAGAUUCUUCAUCGUGAAGCUGCAUUUGAAAACUUAUUCCAUUGCUUUCAUACCUGCACACACACACACACACAGAGACAUAUAAUUUAUCUAUAUAUAGAUAGAGAGAAUGUUUUUCUGCUCUUCCCCAGUAACCAAGUCAGUUCCCUCUUGUAACUAUGAAUCUUAAAGUCUUUCCCCUUUUCUCUCUAGGCAAGUGUUGACAUAUUCCCCAUAUGCACUAUACCGCUGAUGAAAGCACCACUGUCUGCUGACAUUCAUCAUUUCCUGUCUUCAUGCGUCGAUUACUAAUGACGACCUGGUUGUCAACACAGCUGGUUCACUUCUCUUUUUCGAUUCUUACCUCGUGAUGACCACGAUGUCUGUUUUGCCUUCUGCGACCGUUUUGAUGAGUCUCCAUUGGUUAUCUUUAUGUGCAGGACUGAAGAAUUGGCCGCAGCCCUAACUUGUUACGGCCGUCUCUGUCACGCCAACCGUAAGUUACUCCUUUCCUACGCACAGACUGGACACUUUCUUUUGUUCUUGUGCCCGAACCUUGAAAUUCGAUCAUCUGUGAUAGUCCACAUUCCACGCUCUGCAGCGUGACCACAUCUUCAAGGUCCAGCAAACGUUUCCUCACUGUUGCGCUUUCCCGAUGCCAAUGCUGAAUAGAAAACGAACCUCAAGGUCGAAUGAAGGGGGUCACGUAACAACAGGCCAAACCGGAACAGUAAAUUUGAGACCAGCAGAUGGAGUGUAUGUCAGAUAACAUGGAGACGCAUGAGCUUUACACACGAUUAGAGAAUAGAACCGUUGCUUUUUUUUCUUUUUUUCUUUUCCCAUUGUCUCCCGUUUCGCCCUCUGGCAACAUGCCUGUGUCAGACAUUGGUUUUUCAGGUACUCUGCCGUGGUUAUAGUAACCACGUACGUUUGUAGGCUUGCGGGAGGGGGGUUUCUUUUCAGACAGUAAGAGUGAGAUUUCAUGUUGUCUUCGUCGAAGCACUUUCUUCUACAGCAAAUCUUUGUCGUCUGGCUCUUUGUGUGCCUGUGCAGGUGCGCGAGAUGAGGUAACGCCCAAGAUUACUCCGGACAAGCUCAAUGCAGCGUGACGAAGAGAUGCUCCAGAUCGAUAAGUAUGGCGUGAAGGGAAGAAGAACCUGCUGCUGCUGCCGAGUGGGCUACAGACCACCGCCUGUCAGUGGCGUUUCUUCCACAACAUUGUCCAUAUCGACUGUGUGGAGGAACUUUGUGCUGCUUUCCUUGGUGUUUACAAGAAAAGUAAAUAUGUUUUUGAUGAAUGUUUUGUGUGUAGUCUAAUUCAUCUAAUCAUUUUCAAAGGCAUCGUUGAUAUAAACAAGUUUUUAGCACUUAUUUCCAAUGUUUUGAAAGAACUAUUACUAUUAAUAUAUUUUUUUGAAUUUAAUAUUGAAUAAUCAAGUUUUUAUACAUUUGAUGAAUUCAAUGAUAAAAGUUUGAAACUCUUUUGCAAGGUUAUGCAAUUACAGGACUUUUCAAAGGUUGAUUUCAUAGUACUUAAUAUUUUCACAAAACAUUUUUACAAUAUUUAUAGAUCUUAAAGAUUCUCAUAAAAUCAAAAAACUAUAUUUUGUUUAAUUAAGAAAGAUUUUUUUUUUAUUUUGAAUUUAUUUUAUUUUAUAAUUUAAGAGCUAAUACAAUAGAAAAAAUAUACAAAAUUUAAACCAAAACUAUUCAACAUUCAUUUUGUUGAUAAUUUUUUAAAAUUUGUAUUAUCUUUCUAUUUUUUUUUUGGUUUUUUCUUUAUUAAAUUAAUUAUAUAAUAUAGCAUAUUAAUUUUUAUUUAUAAAAUAUUUUAAUAUAAAUUUAUUUUAUAAUUUUUUGAUAUCAAUAAAAGUUUAUAUAUAAUUUGUAUGGAAAGAGGGGGAUGUAUCUACAAAAGAGCUUACGUCAAAUAUAUAUGUUUAUUCCAAUAUUUACAUAAUUAAAUAGAAAUAGGUAAAAAAUAGAUUAAUUUUAUAAUAUUUUCCAAAAAACAUUCUUAGAAGUUUUAUAGAUAUGGUUUUGACUUUACAUAUGUUUAUAGGUUAGAAACUUGGUCAACAAAUUAGCCACAUGUCACAUGUGUUGAUAUCUUGUGGAACAAACUAAUUAUGUGACACAUAUAUAGAAAAUUUACCUUGUAAGUUAAGAUAUGAAUCUUGAAAUUUAGAUAAGUAUUAUAAGUCUUAUAGAAUGUCCAUAUGUUAAGGCCACAAAUUAAAAGAAGAUGCAUAAACUCAUGGAAUUUGUGUCAAAAGAAAAGUAACAAAAUAGAAGAAAGUAUGUAUAUUUAAGGAAGAAUUGGAAUGGCUAUUGUCAAAGAUUAGAAAACAUAAGAUUUUUGAAACUAGACUAAAAAGCAAGAAAAGAGUUGAAAAGAGUAAGAAAGACUUCAUUCUUGUUACUAUAUAUACUACUUAACUAAGAAAUAUGUGGCAACAUGCUAUAAGAUCUCUAAUACAUGUCUAACUUGCAGGAUACAUGUCUAAUUUACAAGGCAAGUUUCCUAGGUGUAUGCCAUAUGUCCAACUUGUAUUACAAGUAGUCAACAUGUUGACACGUAGCAUCCUUGUUGGCCAAGUUUUUAACCUACCAAUCACCUAUAGACAUAUAUAAAGGCAAAGCACCGUCUAUGAAGCUUCAAAGAAGCUUUCUACAAAAUAUUAUCAUAUUUAUCUACUUUGAUUUACUUCUAUCUAAUCUUAUUAUCUAGAUAAUUAUCAGGACAAAUAUGUAUGUCCAUGACAUUACCUCUUUUUCUAGGAACAAAUUCCACAAAGAGCAAAGAUUACAUAUUGAUGAAGUCCAAGAUGCACCAAAUUAUAUUUGCCAUGUACUCUAAUCUUUAUUUCCUUCAAAGGUAGUUGAUAGGUCCUUUCAACUAUCGAUAAUGUCUCAUACCAUAGCAAGAAGACUACCUUGAUAUUUGAUUAUUAUUGAGGCCUUCAUAACUUUCUUCAAACAAAAUAUUAAUAAUACUAUCAAGAAUGGUUCUUACUUCCAAAAGUAUCACUAAACAUCAGAAGUCCCUUCCAAGGUCAUGAUACCAAACGCAUUGUAUCUCGCCAUCUAUUCGAGAAAGAAUAUGUUGUUCUUGAGGAUCUUCAUUUUGAUUUUAUUGUCUCAAAGGUUGUGAUAGUCGCAAUAUCUCAUAUGGUAGCUCAGCAAAUGAUAGCUCUUCAACUGAAUCUUUUGGUUGUUGGUUCUCUAUCUCUUAUGCACUAAAAAAUCUAAAGAAACACUGAUAUAAGAUAGAAUGAAAAUCUCCAUUGGACUUACUUUGCUUUAUAGCAAAGAAUUUCUUGAUUCUUUAUCUUGGUUUUGAUAGAUAUCAUUGAUAAAAAGUUUUAACUUUGGCUAAUAUAUUUGCUAGAUUCAUGGAUGGCUCCCAUGUGCAUUCAUUAAUGUCAUAUCUAUGCCAAUGUACUAGAUAUUCUAACCUAUUUUGGCGCUACCUUGAAUCUAAGACUUCUUUCACCUCAAAUUCUUUAUUAUUAUCUAUUUCUAUAGGAGGUGGUGGCAUUUGUCUCCUUGCUUGUCUAUCUAUUGUCUUGUAUGGCUCAAGUAAAGAUACAUGGAACAUAGGAUGGAUUUUUAUAGACUCUGGUACGUAUAAUCAAUAAGCAAUUGGAUUGAUCUAUUUACAAAUUGAAAAUGGUUCAAGCCUACAAUAAUCUAGCUGUCACGGACCAAAAAUACAAACAAGAAAUCUAAACAAGAAGUUCAAGAAGAAAUGACAAGAACUAGAUUAUCAGAUGAGUACAAGAGCAAUGUCAAGAGAAUUGAGCUAGAGCUUCAAGAGAUGUGUUGUCGAGACUGAAGAACUCUUCAGCCUCGACUCCUAUAUAUACUACUGGCCUAUGGUUCUAAGGAAGUGCAUCAAGAAGCUUCCUAAGAACUAUGAAGCUUCUCGAGCAACUACCCAAGAGCUAGGAAGCUUCUAAAGUAACUUCCUAGAAUCUACUAGAAUAUUCUAAGAAUCUUCUAGAGCCUUCUAAGGGAAUCUUUAGGGAAUCUUCAAAGAAUUUUUAGGGAAUAUUUAAACAAUAUUCUAAGAGAAUAUUCAAGGAAUCUUCUGAAAGUUUCUAGAGACUUCUUUCUAAAAGGUUCUAGAAACUUGUCUCUAGAAAGGUCUAAGGACUAUGUCUCUAACAUCACCUCCUCCUUUAGCUUCAAGGUCUCCGAGAAGCAAUGUUAUCGUCAGUCAAUACCAACACAAGAAAAUGAAGAUCUGUCGCAUAACCUCUGCUAUGAACUCCAAUUGUUGUUCACGAGGCAAGUGAUUCAAUGGUCCUUGAAGCCAACGGUAGUGGCCCACGCCUUCAACUUCUGACCAAGCAUGAACCUCCGUAUCUUCAUUGUGAAAUUGUCCUGCAAACACUCCUUCUGGCUGACCAUUGUAGGCAGGCUCGACCUCAAAUACAAUCACCAGCGAUUUGUUGCUCGGAAUCCUUCGACGUCGUCAUGGUGCAAGCGGUUCUUCAUCUUGCGGUCGUCUUCGUGAGCUAGUUGCUUGAGAUGACAUGACAAGUGUAGUAUCUUGGCUAUCCAUAUUCAAAGGCUAAAACAAUAAGAACAAACUUGGGUUACUAACAAAGUUCUACGCUAUCUUGGAGAGAACGACUACAUCAACUAUGGAUUUUGGUGGUGCUCUCUUCUCUUUUCUAUUUUCUGGAUGAGCAAGCUUCAGUAGAAGCUAUCGUCGAACCGGCUUGGGUUUCUCAGGAUAUCGUCGAUGAAACUCCUAUACAUUUUGCAGCGCAUUCGUGAGAUUUUCGGCCGGCUCUCAUGUUCGUUCAUUAAUAUCGUAACCGCUCUAAUGCACAAAGUAUUCUAAUUUACCCCGUCUUUGCUGUGAAUCCAAGACCUUUUCCACCUCGCGUUCUUCGUGGUUCUCUAUUUCUAUGCUAGGUGGUGGACAUUAUACUCUUCUAAGAAAAGACGAUUCUCGAUAAGGCUCCAACAAAGAAACAUGAAAGACAGGAUGUACCUUCAUAGUAGCUAGUAACUCCAGACGAUAUGCUAUAGGAUUGAUCUGCUUCUGGAUAACAAAUGGACCCAAUCUCCGAUAGUCCAAUUUAUCACAUGGCCGCUUGGUCUUAAUAUUUUGUCGAAGCAGCCAAACUUUGUCUCCAAUCGUGAAUUUAGGUGCUUGAUUCUGAAAUUUGUCCUCGGACGCCUUGUAAGAUUCUUGGGCAGUUUGCAAUUGAAGCUUCAAUGUAGUUUGAAGCUGCAAAAGCUCCUUCACCAAUCCUUCAGCUGCCGGAUUGUUAAUCGUUGACGAACUCCAUAAGUCAAGCUUCGGAUGGUAUCCAUAAUUGGAAAAGAAUGGCGUUUGUUGAGUUGACACAUGAAGGGUGUUGUUAUAUGCGAACUCGGCUAGCGGUAGAUAUGCGACCCAAUCAUCUUCUUGAUAGUUGAUGGUGCAACGUAAAUAUUGCUCUAAAACUUGAUUCACCCGUUCUGUUUGGCCGUCUGUUUGAGGAUGAAAUGCCGAAGAAAGCUUGAUAUCCACCUUCAAUAUUUCAAAAAGAGAUUUCCAAAACUUUGAUACAAAUUGGGUUCCUCGAUCCGAUACGAUAUCAUCUGGUAGACCAUGAUAUCGAUACACAUUAUCAAGAAAGAGUCUUGUUGUGUCUUUGCUUGACGAUGUCUUCUUGCAAGGGACAAAAUGCGCCAUCUUUGUAAGCCGGUCUACGACAAUAAAAAUGCUGUCAAAUGAAUUCGAUGGUGGUAGAUCCGUAAUAAAGUCCAUGGAAACCGAAGACCAUGGUCGGCGCGGAAUAGGCAAUGGCUGUAGAAGUCCACAAGGCCGAUGUCGAGGGUUUUUGGAUCUUGAACAAAUGUCACAAGAUACAACAAAAUAGUUCACAUCCUUCCACAUUUGAGGCCACCAGAAAUCGCGGGAAAUAAGUUCCAAGGUCUUAUUGAAUCCAAAAUGUCCCGCAGCUGGAAAGUCAUGACGAGAUUGAAGAACUCGGAGUCGUGUUGGCCCUUUUGGGAUAUACAACCGCUCUUCGAAAUAUACUAGAUCUCCUUCCAUCUUGAAUUUAUCAUCACUAGCAUGUUGUUUGAUAUCAAGGGCUAGAGAAUCUUCAAUGGUUGCGGCCCAUACCUGGUCGAGGAAGUCAGCAUCAAUUGGUACAAUAGCUGCGUUGAGCCGAAAUUUCUCUAGCUUCAACAAUGUCGUGCACUGUUGAUCAAAUGCUGCAUCUCCAGCCUUUGGCGCGAGAUAUGAUCUCUUUGAUAAUGCAUCGGAUAACCCUUGUUGCUUCCCAGGCCGAUAAGUAAUAACAAAGUCGAACCUGAAUAGCGACAUACUCCACCGAGCUUGACGCCGAUUCAAAACCCGAGCCGACAUAAAAUACUCCAAAUUCUUAUGAUCCAUAUAUACGGUCACUGGAUGUGCAGUUCCUUCGAGAAAGUGGCACCACUCUUGGAAAGAAUCUACUAUAGCAAGGAGUUCCUUAUCGCGGAUCUCAUAGUUGAUCUUAGCAGCAGAGAAUUUUCGAGAAUAGAACGCAACUGGAUGGAGCUUCUCAUCUACGCCCAUCUGUGAAAGUACAGCUCCCAAAGCAAAAUCCGAAGCAUCUGUCUCCAAAUAAAAGGCCUUUGUAAAGUCCGGAUGUACCAAGAUUAGAGCUGUAGUAAAUACCAUCUUCAAAUCUUGAAAUGCUUUUUCUGCGAUAGGUCCCCAUUCGAGCUUGUCCUUACACGUUAACCGAGUGAGGGGGGCAGCAACUUGAGAAUAAUUCUUGAUGAAGAUCCGAUAGUAGUUAGCAAAUCCAAAAAAACAUUGGACGUCCCUAACCGUCUUCGGAACUUCCCAAGACAUGAUUGCUUCCACCUUCUUUGGAUCCAUCUUCAAGCCUUCCGUAGUCGCGAUGAAUCCCAAAAACUUCAUCUCAGUUUGGUGAAAUAAGCACUUGUCCAAUUUGGCAUAGAGUCCUCGCUCCCGUAGUUUUUUGAGUACCAGAUGAACAUGCUUCUCAUGUUCUUCCUCGUUCUUAGAAAAUAUCAAAAUAUCAUCUAGAUAGAUGACAACAAAAUCAUCUAGAUGCUCUCGAAAGAUGUCAUUCAUCAUGUGUUGAAAGACCGCUGGAGCAUUAGUAAGACCAAAUGGCAUGACAUUGUAUUCAAAAUGGCCAUACCUUGUUCGGAACGCUGUCUUCCAUUCAUCUCCUUCCUUAAUUCGCACAAGGUUGUAAGCUCCCCUUAAGUCAAUCUUUGUAAAGAUCCUUGCACGCCCAAGUUAUUCUAGAAGACCAGAGAUCAAAGGUAGUGGGUAGCGAUUCUUUUUUGUCACCUUGUUGAGACCUCGAUAGUCCACGCACAUCCGUAGUGAGCCAUCCUUCUUCUUCACAAAUAAGAUUGGUGCCCUAGCCGGCGACUUCGAAUGACGGAUGAAGUUCUUGGCUAGAUUCUCGUCAAUGUACUUCCGCAAUUCAGUCAACUCUGUCUACGACAAAUUGUAGAUUGGUCCAAAAGGUGGUUGUGCUCCUUCUUACAAUUCAAUGGCACAGUCAUAGGGUCGAUGCUCUGGCAGCAUAUCAGCAUUCUUCUUUUCAAAGACAUCUUUGAAUUCUUCAUAUUGCUUUGGAAUAAUCAAAGUCGGAGUUGCAUCUUUUCAAGUCGGAGUUGCGAAGAUGACAAGAGGUGUAUUUUGCUUGGCUUCCUUCAUGAAAGCCCUUGCACCUAUAAACAAGGAUUUGUUUCUAGACAUUGUCUUGGCAGAUUCCACCUUCAAGGAGUUUGUUGAAAAUGUCACUUUCCGCAACUUCCAAUCUAUUAAUGGAUUAUAUCUAUCAAGCCAAGAUAGUCCCAAAAUGAUAGGACAUGAAGGGGUCUUGAUAACAUUAAACACAAUAUUGCUCUCAUGGUUUUUAAGACGUACCUUCAAUGGUUUAGUUUCAUGGAUAACAUUGCCUGAAGACAAUGGUUGUCCGUCUAUGACUUCUACAUGGACAGGCUUAAGUUUCUUUACAAGAGAAAUAUUGUGAAGCUUGGCAAACUCUUCAUCUAUAAAGCAAGCAGAUGCACCCGAGUCUAAUAAAGCAUCGACUUGUAGUUCUUGAAUACCUAGAUGUAAAGGUACCAUAAAACAAUCUGAAGGUUGAGCUGAGAGAAAGGGACCUUGAUUAAUUUUGGAUGUUGACAUGUCCAACCGCACGGUCCCUAUUGUGGCUGGGCGUCCUUGUUUUCCUGCAUACUUGUACUCCUAAGUCUUGUUGUUUGAGGCUUCUGUUUCUUCCGACAAUCUACAGCUUUAUGGCCCGCUUCUCCGCAAUAUAAACACAAGUUUUGUUCAAACCGUCGCUUCCUUUCCUCAGCUGUGAGGGGUUUGAAACGUACCGCAUCAAUUUGCAUGGGUUCAGGAUCUGUGGAGUGAUUCUCUGGACUUUUUGAAAAUAUAGCAAAUGCUCCAUCAUUUCUCCAGCUUGAUCAUCUUUCUUGUCGUAAUUCAAAGAGGCGGUUGUCAUAAAUAAUUGCCUGAGAUAUAAGUUCUUCUAAAGUAUCCGCCUUAGGCAUGGUGAUCAAUAAGUUCUUGACAUCAUCUCUCAGUCCAUAUCGAAAUCGUGUCAUGAACGUCUUAUCAUUCCAAUCAAGAUCACAUGUAAGCUGUUGAAAUUCUGCAACAUAGAUUGCAGCAGAACGUGAUCCUUGUCGUAGAUUUUGUAUCUUUCUUUCAGCCACUCUUUCUUGAUCGCUAUCUCCAAACGGAGCACUAAGUCUCUCUAUGAAAGCCUCUAGGUCGUGCAAUAUUAGAGAAUCCUUCUCCAAUAGUGGAGCAAACCAAGAGCGAGCAUUUUCUGAUAGAAGAGUACCUAUGAAAGCAACCUGGGUAAAUCCAUUCGGAUAACGAGAAGGGUAUAGGCGUAGGUAAAGCCGUACUUAUUGCACAAAACCUCAGAAGUUGGCUCUUGUUCCGUCAAACUUGUCUAACAUACUCGCUUUUGGUUCUUUCGUACUAAUCCUUGAAGUAUCCAUAGGGGUCGUAUGUGACACAUGUCUUGCUUCUCUCAGUCGAAUAAUCUCUUGUUGUAGGCUAUGAAUUUUGUGUCUAGCUUCUUCGGUCACUAGAUCAAUUUGAGGUUCUUUACUUGGAUUGCAAAGAAAUGCAAUCUCCUUUCGUACACUAUUCAUAAGAGCUUGAAGAUCUGCAAGAGUUGCCACUCUAUUGUCUACUUGUGGAGAUGCACUGUCUAUGACCUGGUCUACUUCAAUAUUUAAGAAUAGAUGGAUUAAAAUUUUGAGAGAAGAAAAAAUUGCUAAGUCUCUUGGAGAAAAUUGUAGCACUACCUGUCACUAAAACCUACUCGGAAAAAAGAAAAAAAAUACUAAACGAUUUCAGUUUUAGAGGAGGGUAAUCCGCUGUCGUAUUACGUGCUUUCCUGCUUGAGAACGCGCCGGGCGUCUCGCUGUAGAAGGUAGUAUGGAGAUCCGUCGAUAGUCAAGCAGUCUAUCAGUUUUUACUGCUAGAAUAUAAACGACUGCAAGAAUAUACCGUAAAUCUUUACUGAUGCCCUUCGACUGCUUGUUGAAGUCCUUUUUUUGCCCCAGCCGGUAGGUCUCUAGACGUUACAGAGAACCCCGAACAACCCAAACUGUUAAUCUUCAAUACCCCUUUGUACUUACGAUCUUGUAUCCACUGAUUGUCCUGUUAGAUUAACCCAAUAAAUUUCAUUCACUCCGCAUACUCAAUCCUAUAGACACCCCUUUAAUCCUUCAAUCACAGACGUAACUCGAUUUUACAAAACAGUCAAGAGUAUUCAAACCCACUUCAUUUAAAAAUCCCGAUUCACCAUUACAACACUGACUUCAGCAGCGAUUGCCUCAGUCGUCCCAAAACUCUACGAAGAAGAAAAAUCCAAAUUCUAUGUCUUUCCUUCCCCGACCCGAAGCAUGAAGCUCCUCUCUCUAAUUCCCUUGAUCUUCCAAAAACCUCCAAUGAAAACCGAACUAGUAACCUUGCAAAAGCUUGAAAACUCGCUCCCCCUGAUUCCUCCCGAAAAAAAAACUUCCCCCCUCAAAACUAUAUCCCCCUCUAACCUUAUCCUCUGAAUUUCUUCAAUCUUCCGUCUUAGAUCCGGAAUUGGCUCCCACCUCAAGCUUGGAUCCAAAAUUGGCUCUCGCCGUCAAGCUUUCUCCUCCGUUUUUACCUUUAAGAAAUCCAUUUACCGAAAACAACGUUUCCUGAAACGGCAUAGAGAACAAGACAGCCUGAAACAGAAUCGAACCCCGUAAUCGGGACCACAUUGAGUCGCCCGACCAAUUCAGGUCCUAUAUUGGGAAAGAUGCCCGUAGUAACCUAGAUGUUCCCGUAAUUGGGUCAAAUUGGUCCUCGCGUUGUCGUGUUGUAACACGAGUAUACAGUGAAAAUAAAAAGAAAGGGGGAUUUUAUUAAUAUUCAGUUAUCUCGAAUAUUGGGAGCAUCGACCAACUCCAGUACAAAUACUGAGUGGUCAGGUUCAGUGACUCCGUUACAGUCAGCCGGGGCAUACUGGAAUGCCCCGUUCGAUUCGAAUAACGGGAGUCAGUAGGAAGAGAAGGACCAAUUCACACGACGGGUUCGAGGAGCCAAUUGGAUCCAAUUUCGAUAAUCCAAUCCGGGUCCUCUUACCCAAUAUGAGACCUGUAUUGGUGGGGCAACCCAAUGCAGUCUAGUUACGGGAAAUCGAGGUCUUACUACGGAUCUUAGCCAAUCUGACGCGAGGACCAAUUUGACCCAAUUACGGGAACAUCCAGGUUAUUACGGGCAUCUUUCCCAAUAUAGGACCUGAAUUGGUCGGGCGACUCAAUGAAGUCCCGAUUACGGGAUUCGAUUCUGUUUCAGGCUGUCCUGUUCUCUGUGCCGUCUCAGGGAACGUUGUUUUCGGUAAAUGGAUUUCUUAAAGGUAAAAACGGAGGAGAAAGCUUGAGGUGGGAGCCAAUUUCGGAUCCAAGCUUGAGGUGGGAGCCAAUUUCGGAUCCAAGCUUGAGGUGGGAGCCAAUUCCGGAUCUAAGACGGAAGAUUGAAGAAAUUCAGAGGAUAAGGUUAGGGGGAUAUAGUUUUGGAGUGGUGUGGAUUUUUAUUUAGGGUGGAUGGGAGGUUUUUGGAGAUCAAGGGAAUUAGAGAGAGGAGCUUCAUGCUUCGGGUCGGGGAAGGAAAGACAUAGGAUUUGGAUUUUUCUUCUUCGUAGAGUUUUGGGGAAGACUGAGGCUAUCGCUGCUGAAGUCAGUGUUGUACUGGUGAAUCGGGAUUUUUAAAUGAAGUGGGUUUGAAUACUCUUGACUGUUUUGUGAAAUCGAGUUACGUCUGUGAUUGAAGGAUUAAAAGGGUGUCUAUAGGAUUGAGUAUGCGGAGUGAAUGAAAUUUAUUGGGUUAAUCUAACAAGACAGUCAGUGGAUACAAGAUCGUAAGUACAAAGGAGUAUUGAAGGUUAACAGUUUGGGUUGUACGGGGUUCUCUGUAACGUCUAGAGACCUACCGGCUGGGGCAAAAAGGACUCUGACAAGCAGUCGAAGAGCACCCGUAUAGAUUUACGGUACAUUGUUGCAGUCGUUUAUAUUCCAGCAGUCAAAAACUGAUAGACUGCUUGACUAUCGGCGAAUCUCCAUACUACCUUCUACAGCCAGACGCCCGGCGCGUUCUCGAGCAGGAAAGCACGUAAUACGACAUAAGUGGUGAACCCGACGUGAAAGCUUGAGGUAGAAGGUAUUGGAUUUUGGUUGAUUUUAUCUUUAUUUUUUAUGGAAAACGAAAAUAAAAAUUUUGAAGGAUUUUUGGGAGAAAUUUCUGGUGGAGAGUCUUCUAAAGGACAAGGUAUGCACAUGGAUCCAUCUAUUGCUAGUUUGUUUCAAGCCUUCUCAUUGUCAAUGCAGCAACAGCAAAGCAAUGAUCGAAAGGAAGCUUUGGCAACCAAAGCAUGCAAGCCGUGGUCGAUAAAAUUGAUCGAUUUGAUGGGAGGAAUAUUUCAAGGGAUUUAAGAUGUUAUGUUUCGUGAAAUGAAAUUAAAUCGGGUUUCUNNNNNNNNNNNNNNNNNNNNNNNNNNNNNNNNNNNNNNNNNNNNNNNNNNNNNNNNNNNNNNNNNNNNNNNNNNNNNNNNNNNNNNNNNNNNNNNNNNNNNNNNNNNNNNNNNNNNNNNNNNNNNNNNNNNNNNNNNNNNNNNNNNNNNNNNNNNNNNNNNNNNNNNNNNNNNNNNNNNNNNNNNNNNNNNNNNNNNNNNNNNNNNNNNNNNNNNNNNNNNNNNNNNNNNNNNNNNNNNNNNNNNNNNNNNNNNNNNNNNNNNNNNNNNNNNNNNNNNNNNNNNNNNNNNNNNNNNNNNNNNNNNNNNNNNNNNNNNNNNNNNNNNNNNNNNNNNNNNNNNNNNNNNNNNNNNNNNNNNNNNNNNNNNNNNNNNNNNNNNNNNNNNNNNNNNNNNNNNNNNNNNNNNNNNNNNNNNNNNNNNNNNNNNNNNNNNNNNNNNNNNNNNNNNNNNNNNNNNNNNNNNNNNNNNNNNNNNNNNNNNNNNNNNNNNNNNNNNNNNNNNNNNNNNNNNNNNNNNNNNNNNNNNNNNNNNNNNNNNNNNNNNNNNNNNNNNNNNNNNNNNNNNNNNNNNNNNNNNNNNNNNNNNNNNNNNNNNNNNNNNNNNNNNNNNNNNNNNNNNNNNNNNNNNNNNNNNNNNNNNNNNNNNNNNNNNNNNNNNNNNNNNNNNNNNNNNNNNNNNNNNNNNNNNNNNNNNNNNNNNNNNNNNNNNNNNNNNNNNNNNNNNNNNNNNNNNNNNNNNNNNNNNNNNNNNNNNNNNNNNNNNNNNNNNNNNNNNNNNNNNNNNNNNNNNNNNNNNNNNNNNNNNNNNNNNNNNNNNNNNNNNNNNNNNNNNNNNNNNNNNNNNNNNNNNNNNNNNNNNNNNNNNNNNNNNNNNNNNNNNNNNNNNNNNNNNNNNNNNNNNNNNNNNNNNNNNNNNNNNNNNNNNNNNNNNNNNNNNNNNNNNNNNNNNNNNNNNNNNNNNNNNNNNNNNNNNNNNNNNNNNNNNNNNNNNNNNNNNNNNNNNNNNNNNNNNNNNNNNNNNNNNNNNNNNNNNNNNNNNNNNNNNNNNNNNNNNNNNNNNNNNNNNNNNNNNNNNNNNNNNNNNNNNNNNNNNNNNNNNNNNNNNNNNNNNNNNNNNNNNNNNNNNNNNNNNNNNNNNNNNNNNNNNNNNNNNNNNNNNNNNNNNNNNNNNNNNNNNNNNNNNNNNNNNNNNNNNNNNNNNNNNNNNNNNNNNNNNNNNNNNNNNNNNNNNNNNNNNNNNNNNNNNNNNNNNNNNNNNNNNNNNNNNNNNNNNNNNNNNNNNNNNNNNNNNNNNNNNNNNNNNNNNNNNNNNNNNNNNNNNNNNNNNNNNNNNNNNNNNNNNNNNNNNNNNNNNNNNNNNNNNNNNNNNNNNNNNNNNNNNNNNNNNNNNNNNNNNNNNNNNNNNNNNNNNNNNNNNNNNNNNNNNNNNNNNNNNNNNNNNNNNNNNNNNNNNNNNNNNNNNNNNNNNNNNNNNNNNNNNNNNNNNNNNNNNNNNNNNNNNNNNNNNNNNNNNNNNNNNNNNNNNNNNNNNNNNNNNNNNNNNNNNNNNNNNNNNNNNNNNNNNNNNNNNNNNNNNNNNNNNNNNNNNNNNNNNNNNNNNNNNNNNNNNNNNNNNNNNNNNNNNNNNNNNNNNNNNNNNNNNNNNNNNNNNNNNNNNNNNNNNNNNNNNNNNNNNNNNNNNNNNNNNNNNNNNNNNNNNNNNNNNNNNNNNNNNNNNNNNNNNNNNNNNNNNNNNNNNNNNNNNNNNNNNNNNNNNNNNNNNNNNNNNNNNNNNNNNNNNNNNNNNNNNNNNNNNNNNNNNNNNNNNNNNNNNNNNNNNNNNNNNNNNNNNNNNNNNNNNNNNNNNNNNNNNNNNNNNNNNNNNNNNNNNNNNNNNNNNNNNNNGAUUAGGCGCGACUAACUCGGUUGCGCAUAUGAUGAAUGGGAUGAAUAAGGUAUUGAGAGAUUUUAUUCCGGAAAAGACUAUGCCUUUUCUGGAUGAUGUUCCUAUAAAAGGAUGCAGAGAAGGAGACAAGGAUGAAACUUUAGAUACGAGGGGGUGUCGCAGAUAUGUUGUUGAUCAUAUACAAGAUUGUGAAAAGAUUUUAACUCGGCUUGGAGAAGUUCAUCUUACAUUAUUGGGUAUGAAGUCCGUAUUUGGAGUGUGAGAGGUUGUAAUUGUUGGACAUUUAUGCGGAUCUUACGAAAGAAAACCAGAUCCGACUAAAGUUGAUGCAAUUGGAAGGAUGAAAGAGGAUUGUGAUUCUUUAACAGAGGUUCGCAGGUUUUUGGGUGCAUGUGUAUUUUAUCGAAUCUGGAUCCCUCAUUUUGCUCACAUAGCGGAUCCAUUAUAUGAACUGUUACGCAAGGGUUACCGAUUUGAAUGGGAAGAAAGGCAUAUUCAGGCAAUGCAAAGAUUGAAGAAAUUUUUGAUGUCACCUCCAAUAUUGAGGAAGGUUGAUUAUAAGUGCAAUAGACCAGUGAUUCUUACUGUAGACGCUAGUCCAAUUGCCGUUGGAUGGGCUGUGGGUCAAGAUGAUUUGAAUGGGAGUAGAUUUGCAGUUCGAUUUGGAGCUAAAGUUUUAAGUAUUCGUUAGCGUGCAUAUUCGCAAGUCAAAAGAGAACUUUGGGGAGUCGUUUCGGCUAUGAAAGCAGAAAAGGACUAUUUGAUUGGGGCAGUAGUAGUAAUUGAAACAGAUUGCUUGCCAUUGCUUGGAAUGAUUAUUAACUGUUCAACGCCAGAUAUUGCAAUGUUGAGAUGGAUUGCUUAUAUUAAGUCACUAAAUCCAGAAUUUAAGCAUAUCACUGGAAAGGACAAUUUAGUAGCAGACAUGCUAUCUCGAGCAAGAUACGAGAGGGAGGACGAAAUGGUUGAAGACAUUGAUGAUGUCGGAUUGAAAUUCUAUUCAAUAUCAAAUCUCAACAGAGAAGACAAGCUAUUUCUUGAAGAAUCUUAUGAAGGAGAAUUAUUGGAUAUUGGUCAUUAUUUGAAUACCUUGUCUAAGUAGGGGAAUUGGUCUACAGAAAAAUUCAAACAAAUAAGAAAAAAAGCAUAUGGAUUUUUACUUCGAGAUGGAUUCUUAUGGAAGAGACCGAAGAAAGGAAUUGAGAUGCCACAACGAGUGAUAGGCAAAAGGAAAGAAAAACUAAAAUUAUUAAAGGAAUUUCAUGAUAGUUUAUGGGCAGGCCAUAGAGGAAUCUGGGCUACUUUUGCUAAACUCAAGGAACGAUAUUGGUGGAAAAAUAUGUAUCGAGAUGUGCUCUCAUUUGUAGAGUCAUGUGAAAUCUGUCAAUCGUAUUCUAAUAUCCGACAUCGAGAUGGUCUUCAUCCUACGUAUCCUCUGGCUAUUCAUUUUAAAUGGGUUGUUGAUUUAGUUAUUAUGCCGGUUGGGUUAUGGCAGAUGAGAUAUUUGGUUUUAGCUCGUGAAGAUUUAUCAAAUCAAGUAGAAGGAAGAGCAUUGAGGACAAAAUCUACAGAAGGGAUUUGUAGGUUUUUGCUUGAAGAUGUCAUUUGCCGUUACGGGUGCGUAGGAAAAAUCACUGCAGAUCGUGGAGAAUUAAAUGCACAAGAAGCUCGUAAGUUCUUUGAAAAAUGUGGAGUUAAACUAUCACUUACUACUGCUUAUAAUCCGGAAGGGAAUGCGAAAAGCGAACGCGGUCACCCGCCGAUUGUGAAAGCACUGGUUAAAGCUUGUAAUGGGAAGGUUAAAGAGUGGCCACGGCUUUUGUCAUUUGCAUUAUGGGCUGAUCGAACAACACAUAGUUCGGUGACAGGAUAUAUGCCUGUAGAACUUAUGACAGGUCAAAAACCAAUUAUGUCGAUUGAAGAAAAGGUACUUACUUGGAGUAUGCUACCAUGGGAAGAUGGAUUGACAAGAGAAGAACUUCUGGCUAUUAGGAUUCGACAAUUGGAGCAAAGAACGGCAGAUGUCCAGAUAGCAUUGGAAAGGUUAAAAAGAGCAAGGUUACAAAACAAGGCGCGAUUCGAUAAGCAACAUCGAUUGAGACCAAAAGCAAUCGAGGAAGGUGACUGGGUACUUGUUUAUGACAAUAGUCUGGAUAAUCAACAUAGUACUUUGCGGAAAUUUUCAAAACGUUGGUUUGGACCAUAUGUUGUAACAACUGUUCAUGAUAAUGCGACUUACUCAUUACGGGAGUUAGAUGGUACAAAAUUGAAAAUACCAAUUGCAGGGAAGAGAGUAAAAAUAUUUAAACGAAGACACGCAGAGAUGAAUAUGGAAGACCUUAAUGAAGGUACAGAGAUUCCGCAGCAAGAAGAUGAAAGUGAUAUGGAUAAUGAAGGUGACGAAGACGAACUGGACAAAGACGUAGGGGAUAUAUUCUGAAUCAAACAGCAAUUGGGUAAAUUGGUGCAUACCGGAGGAUGCACAGGUUCAGAGGGGGUGGAUGUCGUGUUGUAACAUGAGUAUACAGUGAAAAUAAAAAGAAAGGGGGAUUUUAUUAAUAUUCAGUUAUCUCGAAUAUUGGGAGCAUCGACCAACUCCAGUACAAAUACUGAAUGUGGUCCCGAUUACGGGAUUCGAUUCUGUUUCAGGCUGUCCUGUUCUCUGUGCUGUCUCAGGGAACGUUGUUUUCGGUAAAUGGAUUUCUUAAAGGUAAAAACGGAGGAGAAAGCUUGAGGUGGGAGCCAAUUCCGGAUCUAAGACGGAAGAUUGAAGAAAUUCAGAGGAUAAGGUUAGGGGGAAUGGGAGGUUUUUGGAGAUCAAGGGAAUUAGAGAGAGGAGCUUCAUGCUUCGGGUCGGGGAAGGAAAGACAUAGGAUUUGGAUUUUUCUUCUUCGUAGAGUUUUGGGGAAGACUGAGGCUAUCGCUGCUGAAGUCAGUGUUGUACUGGUGAAUCGGGAUUUUUAAAUGAAGUGGGUUUGAAUACUCUUGACUGUUUUGUGAAAUCGAGUUACGUCUGUGAUUGAAGGAUUAAAAGGGUGUCUAUAGGAUUGAGUAUGCGGAGUGAAUGAAAUUUAUUGGGUUAAUCUAACAAGACAGUCAGUGGAUACAAGAUCGUAAGUACAAAGGAGUAUUGAAGGUUAACAGUUUGGGUUGUACGGGGUUCUCUGUAACGUCUAGAGACCUACCGGCUGGGGCAAAAAGGACUCUGACAAGCAGUCGAAGAGCACCCGUAUAGAUUUACGGUACAUUGUUGCAGUCGUUUAUAUUCCAGCAGUCAAAAACUGAUAGACUGCUUGACUAUCGGCGAAUCUCCAUACUACCUUCUACAGCCAGACGCCCGGCGCGUUCUCGAGCAGGAAAGCACGUAAUACGACAGCGUCAGAUUGGCUAAGACCCGUAGUAAGACCUGGAUUUCCCGUAAUUAGACUGCAUUGGGUUGACCGGCCAAUUCAGGUCUCAUAUUGGAUAAGAGGACUCGGAUUGGAUUAUCGAAAUUGGAUCCAAUUGGCUCCUCAAACCCGUCGUGUGAAUUGGUCCUUCUCUUCCUGCUGACUCCCGUUAUUGGAAUCGAAUGGAGCAUUUCAGUAUACCCCGGCUGACUGUAACGGAGUGACUGAACCUGACCACUCAGUAUUUGUACUGGAGUUGGUUGAUGCUCCCAAUAUUCGAGGUAAUUGAAUAUUAAUAAAAUUCCCCUUUCUUUUUAUUUUCACUGUAUACUCGUGUUACAACACGACACCGCAACCUCUAAAAAUGCCUCAAUGCUUUCGAGAAGAGGGAUAAUCCGCACUCUAUCAAGAAGGCAAAGCUCUGAAAUCGAUGUUAUCAGUCUUUUUUACUAGCUAUGCUAAACAAAAAGAAGGAAUUAAUAUCAAUCCAAGAGAGGGUAAUCCGCAACCCUUAGAAUGCUCAAGUAUCUCCAAAGAAAAGGGUAGUCCACUCUCUACCUCAAAGAACUAAGCUCUGAUAUUGUGAUUGAGAAAAUAUCAGUUUAGAGGAAGGUAAUCCGCAACCCCUAAAGCGCGAGAAUACCUUCAAGAAGAGGGGUAAUCCGCUCUCAAACAAGAAGGAUUCAGCUCUGAUAUUAAGAUAAAGGUAGUCUCGACAAACUGUCACGGACCAAAAAUACAAACAAGAAAUCUAAACAAGAAGUUCAACAAGAAAUGACAAGAACUAGAUUUUAAGAUGAGUACAAGAGCAACGCCAAGAGAAUUGAGCUAGAGCUUCAAGAGAUGUGUUGUCGAGAUUGAAGAACUCUUCAGCCUCGACUCCUAUAUAUACUACUGGCCUAUGGUUCUAAGGAAGUGCAUCAAGAAGCUUCCCAAGAACUAUGAAGCUUCUCGAGCAACUACCCAAGAGCUAGGAAGCUUCUAAAGUAACUUCCUAGAAUCUACUAGAAUAUUCUAAGAAUCUUCUAGAGCCUUCUAAGGGAAUCUUUAGAGAAUCUUCAAAGAAUCUUUAGGGAAUCUUUGAAGAAUAUUCUAAGAGAAUAUUCAAGGAAUCUUUUGGAAGUUUCUAGAAACUUCUUUCUAGAAGGUUCUAGAAACUUGUCUCUAGAAAAGUCUAAGGACUGUGUCCCUAAUACUAGCUUAUCACAAGGAUGAAUAAUUUUAAUAUUACGAUGAAGUAACCAUAUCUCAUCCCCCACAUAGAAUUGAGCUUGUUCUUUAUGAUAGACAUCUGCAUUGGCUUUUUGUUGUUCUUGAGCUUCUUUUAAUUGUACCUUCAUUGUUGCAUGUAGCUCUGACAAUUGAUUUGUCACAUCUUUUGUCCCAAAAUUAUUAACUUUUGAAAAUUUAAAUUAUCAAAUCAUGGAUGAUAAUUAUAAUUGGUAAAGAAAAGUGUUUGUUGAGUAGAAGAAUGUAUCAAAUUAUUUUAAGAAAACUUUAUCAAUAAUAAAAGAGUUGUCUGAUCAUCUUAUUGAUAGUUGAUGGUGUACCUCAAAUACUGCUUUAAAACUUGAUUUAUUCAUUCUGUUUGUGUAUUAGUUUGAGGGUGGAAAGCCAAAGAUACUUUUAUAUCUACCUUCAAUAUCUUGAAAAGAAUUCUUUAAAAUCUUGAUAAAAAUUCUAUUCUUCUAUCUAAUAUAAUAUCCCUUGAUAAUCUAUAAUAGCGAUAGAUGUUGUCAAAAAAGAGUUUAGCUAUUCCUUCACCUAAAAUAUAUUUUGUACAUGGUACAAAAUAUGCCAUCUUGGUGAAACGAUCUACAAUCAUGAAUAUGAAAUCAUAUGAAUUUGAAAUUGGAAGAUCUGUGAUAAAAUCCAUAAAAACAAAAGACCAUAGUUGUUUUGAUAUAAGUAAUAGUUGGAGGAGUCUAUAAAAUCGAUGAUGAGGAUUUUUUGAUCUUGAACAAAUAUCAUAUGUCCGCACAAAUUCUUUAAUAGCCUUCUACAUUUGAGGCAAUCAAAAAUCUUUAGAUAUAAGCUCCAAAGUCUUAUUAUAUCCAAAAUGUCUUGCUGCAGGGAAAUUGUGAUGAGCUUCAAGAGCAUGUAAUCAUGCUUUUCCUUGUGGAACAUAUAAGUGUCUUUCAAAAUAGAGUAGGUUCUUCUUAAACUCAAACUUGGAAGUAACUUGAGACUUAGAGGAAUUUUUUUUAAUAUCAUAAAUAAGAAGGUGUGAGGAUAUAAUUUCUUGGAUCUACUUGAAAAAAGUCAAAUCAACAAGCAAUAUUAAUUUUAUUGUUCAAAAAUAAAUUUUUUUUGAUUUCAGUAAAAUUAUCUUUUGUUAGUCAAAAGUUGAUUUUUUUUUCUUUAGGUAUAAGAUAAGAACAUCUAGAAAGAACAUCAAAUAAACCUUAUUAUUUUCUUGGCUUAUAAGUGAUAUUGAACUCAAAUCUUGACAAAGACAUGCUCCAAUAAUCUUAGCGAUGAUUCAAAAUAUGUGCUGACAUGAAAUACUCGAGGUUCUUGUGAUCCAUAUAUAUGAUGACUGAAUUUGAAGCGCCUUCUAAAUAAUGAUGCCAUUCUUGAAAAGAAUCCACAAUUGCAAGAAAUUUCUUGUUGUGGAUUUCAUAUUUAAACUUGGUUGCUUAAGAUUUUCUUGAAUGAAAAGUUAUUAGAUGAAGUUUGUCAUUUUCUCUUAUUUGUGAUAAGACUGUACUCAAGGUAAAGUAAAAUGCAUCUGUCUCUAUAAAAAAUGCUUUAAAGAAGUUAAUGCAAUACAAGAUUAGUGCAGAAGCAAAAGCUUUCUUAAAAGCUUCAAAUAAUGCUUUUGCUUCUUUAUUCCACUUGAGCUUAUUUUUACAAGUUAAGCAUGUAACUGACAUUGCAAUUUGAGAAAAGUUCUUGAUGAAGAUUUAAUAAUAAUUAGCAAAUCUCAAAAAGCAUUGUAUAUCUUUUAUUAUUUUUGAAAUCUUCCAAUCUAUGAUUGUAUGAAUUUUUUUAGGAUCCAUCAUUAGACCAUUGUUUGAAAUGAUGUAUCUUAAGAAGUCAACUUGAGUAGUGUAGAAUACACACUUUUUCAACUUGGCGUACAAUCUUACAUCUCUAAGUUUUUGUAAUAUACGAUAAAUAUAAAUUUCAUAUUUUUCUACAUUCUUAGAAUAGAUUAAAAUGUUGUCUAAGUAACAAACGAUUAAAUGAGCUAGAAACUCACAAAAGACAUCAUUCAUAAGAUGUUGAAAAGCAGCUGGUGCAUUUGUGAGUACAAAAGGCAUGACAUUAUAUUCAAAGUAUCUAUAACUUAUUUGAAAUUUAGUCUUCCAUUCAUGUCUUUCUUUAAUGUAAAUUAGAUUGUAUGCUUGUCAUAGAUCUAUUUUUGUAUAGAUCAUAGCUUGGUUUAAUUCAUAAAGAAGUCCAAAUAACAAAGGCAUAGGAUAUCUAUUCUUGAUAGUAAUCUUGUUGAGUCCUUGAUAAUCCAUGGACAUUUAUAAUGUUCUAUCUUUUUUCUUUACAAAUAAGAUAGGAGCUCUUACAUGAGAUUUUGAAUGGCAUAUGAAAUUCUUAGCCAAGUUCUCAUCAAUGUACUUCUUGAGUUCAGCCAACUCAUUUUGUGAUAAACUAUAGAUUUGACCAAAUGGUGGCUGAGUUCCUUCUUUAAGAUCAAUUAUGCAAUCAUAUGGAUGAUACUCUAAGGGAAUAUUUGUAUUCUUCUUCUUAAAAAUAUCUUAAAAAUCUUGAUAUUGAUUUAGAAUUUUAUUUGAAAUCUUUCCAUUAUUUAAAAUAGAUGUGGCAUAAAUAACAAAAGAUGAUCUUUCUUUUACAGAAUGUAAAAAAACUUUUGUACCUACAACUAUAGGUUUGGCUAUACUAGACUUAAGGCUUUCUAUUGGAUUAGAAAAACUCUCAAUGAUAUUUGAAGAAAAGUUAAGUUUACAAGAAAUCCAAUCUAUCACAUGAUUACACUUUUUUAGCCACGAUAAAUCUAAAAUGAUUGGAUUAGAGGGAGAUCUAAUUAUAUUAAAAAUUACGUGACUAUUAUGACCAUUUAUUACUACAUCUAUAGGAAGUAUUUCAUAAAUAACAUCUCCAAAAGAUAAUAGAUGAUCGUCUAUAACUUCUACGUGCAUGGAUUUAGUUUUUUGUACUAACUGUAUAUUAUGACUUUUAAUAAAUUCUUCAUCUAAAAAACAAGCUGAGGCUCUUGAAUCUAUUAAGGUAGAUGCUUUGUGAUUAUUAAAUCUUAAAUAAACAUCUAUUAUAAAAUAAGGAGAGAGUUUUGAAGAGAGAAUAGGACCUUCAUUAGAAAUUGUAUAAGAUUCCAAUUGCACAAUUCUUAUUAUAGCUGGUCAAAUUUGUUUUUCAACAUGUUUUCAUCUUCGAUAGCAAUACUCCUCAUUUUGUAGUUGUAUCAUUUCAUUGGACAAUAUUGAGUAUUAUGUUUACCUUCUCUAUAAUAUAAACAUAGUCUUUUUUGACAAUGACGAGUAAUUUCUUGCUCAAAAAGAAGUUUAAAACGUAUUGCUUCAAUUUGCAUGUCUUCUACUUUCAAAUACUCAGAUUGAGAAGUUGUUGGUGUCGUCAUUGAAUUAUAAUAACAUUGAGAUAUUCUUAUGUGAUUAUUAGAUCAAAACUCAAAAAGUCAAUUGUCACAUUUCACAACAAAGUCAAUUACUUGACUCAAUGUUUAGGGAUAAGGUAAAUUGAACAUCAAUUUCUUUAUUUCAUAUUGUAAUCCGUAGAAAAAUUAUUUGAUAAGUGUUGCAUCAUCCCACUUGAUAUCUGUCAUGAAUUGUCAAAAUUCUAAAGUAUAUAAUGUGAUUGAUUGAUUGUCUUGUUGCAAGAUAUGAAUUUUAAUAGUUGCAACACGGAUUGCAUCAUGUUCUCCAUACAUAGAUUGAAACUCCGCUAAGAAUGCUUCCAAAUUAUCCAAUAUUGGAUCAUGUUGUUCAAGAAAUGAUGAAAACCAUGAUAAAGGAGAACUUGAAAGUAGGGUUUCAAUAAACACGACUUGUGAUGCUUGAGUUAGAUAAAUUUGAGGUUGUAGUUCAAUUACUAGUUGUACGUGAUUGAUGAAUCCUCAAAACUUAGAUCUUGUACUAUCAAACUUCUUAAGCAAUCAAAUUUUUGGUUCUUUGAAACUUGAAUGAUGUUCUAUUGUAGGAGCAGUAGUAUAGCUUAGUAUAGAUGUUGAAGCAACUUCAAUCAUCUCUAUAUCUUCAUUGCCUCAUAAUCUUGUUGCUUCUUGUGGUAGUAGAUUGAGUUGAUGCAUUGCAAGCAUUAACUCUCUUAUUUGCUCUGUAUUUUGAGCCAUUGCACUCUUCAUUUUACUAAGCUCUGCCAUGCUAGCAUAAUAAAAAGAAAGGUGUCUAUUCUCAUAAAAUAAAAUACUCAAGAAUCAAGAAAAGGAUUCAAAAAUCUUUUAUGACUUUAUUUCAUUUCUAAAAGUAUUUACAACUAUAUUUGGAGAAAAAGAUUAAGAUAGAGUAGCAAAAAUCAAGAUCUUAUCUUUACAACAAAGAUCAUAAUCAGCUACUAUAUAUAUUACUAAAUUCCAAAACCUUCUUUGUGACGUGGACUAAAAUGAAAAAGUCCUUACCAAUCAAUUCUGAUAUGGAAUAAAAGAUAACAUCAAAUAUUUGUUAUUAAUAAUAUUGAAAGAUUUUUUUUUAAAAUAAUUUAUUCCUCAAGCUAUUACAUGUGAUAAUCUACUACUUAAAAGACAUUAAGAAUAAAGAUUUGGCUGAAAAAGAAAAAAUCAAGUAAUGACAACAAUUCUCAAGUUUUCAAAAACCUAUUCAUGAAAACUAAAAUCCAUGCAAAUUGAUAUGAUACACUUUAAAUCCUUCACAAAGUAGGAAAAGACUUAAUAUUAUUAAGGAUAUUUAUGCUUAAAUUAUAGAGAAGCUAAGUAUAUUACUCAAUAUUAUUUAAAAAAGUAACACAAUUACAUAAUAAAGAACAUGGUUGUCAAAGAAGAAAAUGUAUCAAAAAAUGAAUUUCUUUAGUUACAACAAGAAUUAUGUAACUAGAAUCAUAUGCAACACUUAAUAAUAUUUUUUUUCUUUUUAAAUUCCUUAUCUUAUUUUAUAAUAGAUAUAUAUAUUUAAGAUUUAAAAAUCACAAAGUAUAUUCAAGAGCCUUAGAUUAUUUUAUGGAUGAAGUCUUUGUGAAAAAAUAAGAAAUAUCUUUAGUCAAGAAAACUAAAUCCCUACAUGUAGAAGACAUAGAUGGUCAUUUUUUUUCUCUUUUGGAGAUAUUAUCCAUAAGAUUGUUCCUUAAGAUGUAGUAAUUAAAUAUCAUAGUAGCGUAGUAAUACUUAAUGUAAUAAGAACUUCUUCUAGUUCAAUUAUUUUAAGAUUAUUAUGGUAAAAAAAAUAUAACCUUCAAAUAGAUUAGAUUUUUUGUAACCUUAUCUUUUUUUGUAAUUUAAUUUUUUUUUAAUUAGUGAAGUAAAAAUAAAUAAGUUCAGUACAUUCAAAUCCUUAUUAGUAGAUGUGAUUGUAUCAAAGAAAGAAAUCUUCAAUAUACUCUUGUGUCACUAAAAAAAACUAAAAAUUCACUCAAAGAAAGUAAAAUAUUAAAUUAAAAUGACUAUUAUCAAAGACAAGUAAAUUAGAAAGUCUUAAAACAAGACUAAGGACUAAAAAAACAUUGACAAGAGUGAAGAAGGCUUCAUUCUUGCCUUCAUAUAUAUUCUUAAUUAGAAACUAUGUGGCAUUGUUAUGUAGGACCUCCAAAAUGUAUUGACUUUACAAAAUACGUAUCUUAACUUGUAAGGUAAGUUUUUUUAUAUAUGCACCACAUAAUUAGCUUGUUUUGUAAGUUAUCAACAUGUGAUUAACUUGUUGACCAAGUUUCUAAACUUGUAAUUAACUACAAAUAUAUGUAAAGUCAAAGUAACAUCUAUGAAGUUUUUCUAAAAAAUAUUAUGAAAUAAAUUUAUUUUUAUUUAUUCUUAUUUAAUUAUAUAGAUAAAUAUUAGAAUAAAUAUGUAUUUUUGUGAUAUUUUUUCUCCUUCUAAAGAUGAAUUCGACAAGAAAUAGUCAUUAUAUAUUAAAAAAACUUCAAGAUGUAACAAAUUGUAUUUGCUAUAUACUUUGAUCUUUGUUUUCUUCAAAGGUGGUUGAUAGGUAAUUUUAACCAUUGAUAGUAUCUCAUACCAUGAUAGAAAGAUUAUCUUGUUAUUUGAUUAUUAUUGAGGCUUUUGCAACUUCUUUCAAUUAAAAUAUUUAAAAUAUCAUUAGAAGUCAUUUCAAUCUCUAAUAAAAUUAUCAAACAUCAAGAGUCUUUUCUAAGGUCGUGAUAUCAACUAUAUUGUAUCUUGCUAUUUUCUUGAAGAAGGAUAUGUUAUUUUUGAGGAUCUUCAUUUUGAUUAUGUUAUCUUGAAGGUUGUGACAAUGAUAAUAUUUUAUCAAAUAAGUCAACAAGUGAUAGCUCUUAAGUUGAAUUUGUUAGUUGUUGGUUCUUCAUCUCUUUACCGUUACAAAUGCACAAAAGUACCAAACAAGAGUAGAAGGUAGAAUGCUAGCUUUUCAAGAUUUUAUUUAUUUUAUAAUAAAGAUUUACUAUUAUUUAUCUUGAUUUUGAUACAUGUCAUCAAUAAAAAAUCUCAAAUUUUUUUAUUGCAUUUAUAAGACUCUUUGCUGCUUCUAUGUAUAUUCACUAAUAUCAUAUCUAUACCAAUAAAGAAGAUAUUCUAACCUAUUUUGGCAUAGCCUUAAAUGUAAGACUUCUUCCAUUUUUAAUAUCUUGAAAAGAGUUCUCUAAAAUCUUGAUAUAAAUUAAGCUCUUUUAUUCAAUAUAAUAUCUUUGAUAUUUCAUGAUAGCAAUAGAUGUUGUUAGAAAAAAACUUAGUCAUUUUUUCACUUGUGAUAGAUUUUGUACAUAUAAACAAUCUACUAUCACAAAUAUAGAAUCAUACAAAUCUAAGAUUAGAAGAUCUAUGAUAAAAUCCAUAGAAAUAAAAGACCAUAGUUGUUCUAGAAUGGAUAUUGGUUGAAAAAGCCCUCAAGAUCAAUGACAAGGAGUUUUGAAAUUUGAAAAAAUAUUAUAUAAUUUUAUGAAGUCUUUGACUACCUUCUACAUUUGAGGCUACCAAAAAUCUCUAAAUAUUAGCCCCAAAGUCUUGUUGUAUCCAAAAUAUCCGAUUGCUAGAAAGUCAUAACAAGCUUGAAGAAUACUUAAUUGUGUCUUGCCUUUUAGAAUGUAUAAUCGCCCUUGAAGUAGAAUAGAUUAUUCUUAAACUUGAACUUAGAAAUAUUAUGAAAUUUAGAAGAAUUAUUCUUGAUAUCAUGAAUAAGAAUAUUUAAAGACAUACUUGAUUGAAUUUGCGUGAUAAAGGUUGAAUCAAUAAUCAAUGUUGAUUUUAUUGCUUGAAGAUGAAAAUACUUUGGCUUCAAGAGAAUUUUUCUUUAUUGAUUAAAAGCUACAUUUUCUUCUUUUGGUGUAAGAUAAGAACAUCUAGAAAGAGAAUUUUAUAAACCUUGUUAUUUUUUGGAUGUAUAGAUGAUCUUAAAAUCAAAUCUUAAUAAAGACAUAUUCCAAUGGACUUAGCGAUAAUUCAAAUCAUGUUUUGAAAAGAAAUACUUGAAGUUCUUGUGAUUUUUAUAUACAAUAAUUGAACUAGAAGUACCUUCUAAAUAAUGAUAUAAUUUUUGAAAUGAUCCACAAUUAUAAUAAGCUCUUUAUUAUAAAUCUUGUAGCUAAUCUUAUUUGCUAAAAAUUUCUUGAAAUAAAAAAUAAUGUGGUAGAGCUUAUCAUUUGCUUCUAUUUGUAAUAUAAUAACAUCCAUAGCAAAUUCCAAUAUGUCUGUUUUCAUUAAAAAUAACUUAAAAAAAUUGAUAUGAUAUAAAAUAGGCACAAAAAUAAAUGUUGUCUUUAAGGCUUUUUAAGUUAUUUUUUCUUUUUUGCUCCACUCAAGUUUGGCUUUACAUGUCAAAUGUAUAAAAAAGAGGUCCAAUUUGAGAAUUUUUUUUGAUGAAGAUUUAAUAAUAAUUAACAAAUCCCAAAAAAUAUUACAAAUCUCUAACUAUUUUUGAAACCUUCCAAUCCAUGAUAGUUUGAACCUUCUAAAGGUCCUUGUUUUAGCUUAAAAAAAUUAUUUUCCAACAAAUUGUCUUCAUUUAGCUAUGAUAUUUCUCAUUCUGUGAUUAUAUUGCUUCUUUGAAAAAUAUUGAGCAGUGUGCUUAGCUUUUCCACAAUAUAAGUAUUAAUUCUUUAGAUGGCAUGGAUUCUUUUCUUGCUCAAUGAGAAAUUUAAAAGGUACUAUAUCAAUUUUUAUUGGUUUUGGCCUUGAUGAAUAAGUUUUUGAAAACUUGGAAAUUACUUUUAUUACUUGGCUUAUUUUUUUUAACCAAGUCUUUGUUCUUGAUGCCUUUUAAAAAAUUAAUUGUAGUAUGCAAUGGCUUGAGCAAUAAAUUGUUCGAAAGAUUUUGCUUUUGAUAUUAUCAAUAACAAAUCUUUGAUAUUAUCUUUCAAUUCAUAUCAAAAUUGAUUAAUAAAGGCUUAUCAUUUCAAUUCACGUUGCAAUCAAGGUUUUGGAAUUCAACAACAUAUAUAGUAGGUAAUUAUGAUUCUUCUCAUAAAAAUAAAAACUUUAUCUCUGAUAUUCUUUUCCAAUUACUUUCUAUGAAUGUGGCCACUAACACUUCUAGGAAUGAAUUCAAAUCACAAAAAAGUUGUGAAUCAUUUUUUAUCAAAAGUGCAAAUUAAGAGUGAGCACUUUUAGAUAGAAUUUUUAACUUUCAUUGUGAAUCUUGUGGUUGUAUGUGCAUGGAUUUUGAGUAGUUAAUGAUGGUCGUUAGAUUUUAAAACAUACUUUAUUAUGGUAGAUAGCUCCCUCGGCCUUCCAAAAAUACCAAGGGUUUCAAGAGCCUCGGAUUUUCCUCAAUCAGUCAUUCAGAUUAUAUAGUUUCAAUGUAAUUUUUUUUAGCUUUGGUGUUAGCUUUACAAAGAAGUAUUUUUUUCUUUUUUUAGAAUAAGGACGAAUUUUUGGUGAAUUUUUAAGUGUGAGGGGGGUUGGUUGCUUGGCAGUUUAAAUCACCCAACUUUGUCAAGGCAUUUCUCAGUGUUUUCGAAUUAAAUUAUUGUGAAACUUUAGAAAAUAAGUGCAUCUCCAAGCUGAGCUUUUAGUGGCAUAAUUUUUAUCAAAUUUGAAGACGAAGUGAUUUUUUAAUGAAUUUCCAAGUGGAGAGAGGUUGCCUGCCAUGGCAGUCUUAGUUACUCAACAUUGGGAGAGCAUUUCUCACGGCUCAAAUACUAGUUUGAGUUGAAAGUUAUUGGAUCAAGAGUAUCUUCAAGCUCACUUUGAUUAAACCAAAAAAUCAUUCAAUUUGGAGUUUAUCAAAAAUUUUGGCAAUUUUUGAUGUAGAAGGGGGUUGCUGCCUCAAUUCUUAGGCAUUAUUAAGGUAUCUUCGUUUUUUCCCCUCUUUAGUUCCAUUUUUACUUUUAUUUUUUCAAUAACUUAUAAUUUCCAUAUGUCAACUCUUAACCUUUAAUUUACUUUAAUUUUAACUUAAUAUUUAUUUUAAAUUUUACCUUAAUUUUUUAACUUAAUUUUUUAUUUUUACUUUUAAUUUUUACUUAAGAUUUUACCUUUACUAUGGAUUAAGGAUAAUAAUUUAAUUUAUUAUUUUUACCAUAAAUUAUUUAAGAAAUAAUAAAAUAAUAAAAUAAUAAUAAAAAAACCUAAAAAAUAAAAAAUAAAAAUAUAAAACAAAAUAAAAAAUUAAAACUAAAUUAUUUAAUUAGAAAUAAAAGAAAUAAUUUUUUUGCAUGAAGUUUAAGGAGUGAAUUAUCAUUGUGAAUGUAAAUAAUGUUAAGAAAUUUGAUUAACAACUUGGUGUUUUAAGAAGAAAAGUAAUGAUUGAAUUAGAAUUUAAAUAAUAGCUUUACUUUUAAAUUCACAUAGUUUUAUUCACUUAUUGUGAGUUAGAAUAAACUUCCAAUUAAUGGAGGUUUAUUUUAGCUCACAAUCCAUCAAGAUAUUAGAAGAGAUGCAAUCUUAGAUAGAGCUUAAUUUAUUGUAAAAACCCUCAAAAUUUUGAUCUUGUUCUAUCAAACUUUUUGGACAUACUAAUCCUUGACUCUAUCAUAGUUGUAGGAGAAAAACUUCUUGGAUUUAGUUGUGAGGUUGAUUUACUUUCUUCCUUCAUUUAUAUAACUUUUCGAUAUAGAUUUUGAACUUCUUCUAUAGAAGUAUGAUUAGUAUUUCCAUACUUGGUACUCGUGAUGCAUGAAAUUUCUACCUUAAGAAUAUUAAUAAGUUCUUGAAAAUUAGUAAUAGUUGCAAAUCUAUUCUUAAUUUUGUCAAGUAUAAAAUUCAUGAUGUUUCCUUCUCUUUCAAACAACUUAACAAAACUACGAGUCAAAUUAAAAGAGGGUAAUUUGUAACCUCUAAAAUCAAAUAAAAAUUUCUACAAAAAAAAAUUAAUCCGAUUUUUUAAAGAAAGAUAGUAAUAUUAAAAAACUACAUAGUUUAUUUAAAGAUAGAUAAUCUAUAACCUUCAAAAUAGAAUAAUAGAAAUAAAAUAAUUCACUUAUUUUUAAAACAAGACAAGAAUAAUGAAUUAGUACUCAUGUCAAAACUAUUAAGGACAUAAAGCUUAAAAAAAAAAAUCCUUAAUACACUCUUGUGUCAUUCAAAAGAAUUACAAAGUUAUUUGAAGAUGGUAUAAUAUUAAAGUAGAAUGACUAUUGCCAAAGAUAAAAAGACUAGAAAGUCUUGAAACAAGACUAAGGACUAGUAAGGCAUUGAUAAGAGUAAAAAAGGCUUUACUCUUACAUUCAUAUAUACUCUUAACUAGGAACUACAUGGCGGUAUUUUAUAAGAGCUCUAAACGGUGUUGACUUUAUAAGAUACAUAUCUUAACUUAUAAGGCAAGUUUUUUAUAUGUCUACCAUAUAAUUAGUUUAUUCUGCAAGCUAUCAACAUGUGAUUACUAUUAACAAUGUUAAAAUAAGAAUAAGAUAUAAUUACUUUAAAUAAGUUAUUAAUGGUCAAAAUAUAAUAAAAAAAUUAAGGUUGCUUAUUAACGUGGCAGCUAGAUUAAGAAGAAUCUAGGAUUUAGUUGGAUGGAUGAAGAUAGUUGUAGAUGAAGUUCAAUUGUAAUAGAUAUAAAUUUUUCUUGUAAGUAAAGAAUAUUGGAAGAUAGAGGUAUCUUAUUCCACACUUCUCUUAGGUGCAAUCUUGUUGAUACUAUGUGAUAAUGCUUCUAUAUUAUUUCUUAUAAAGGACCAAUGGAAGAAUGGAAGAUUCUUUACAACAUCUAUGAGAGCAAGAAUUUAUUCAACAUCAUCUACACAAAGAGGAAAUUUUCCACUUGUAAGAUGGAAGAAGGUAAAGACCUUAUAACAUACAUCAACAAGGUGAAGGUACUUGCAAAUCAACUUGUAAUUAUAAAUAAGCCUUUAGAAGAUGUAGAUGUUGUCAUGACCCUAUUCAUGAGCUUGCCAAAAUCUUAAAACUACCUCAUUGUGGCUUUGAAAUUCAUCAAGAUGAAAGAAUUCAUAAUAGACUACGUGAUAGCAAAACUUAGCUAUGAAGUGACUAAAAAGAAAAAAAAAGAGCCUCAAACUGAAGAUUCAACAUUCUAUUCAUAACAAGAUAAAGGCAACUAUUCAAAUCAAUGAAGUAAUAUCAAAACUUGCUUCAUUUGUAGCAAAAUAUGACAUUUUACUCAAAAUUGCUACAAAGGCAAAAAGAUAGAAAGAGAGAAUAUAAAUAAUAUUCAAGAUGAGUUUGGAGAAGAAGAUUAUGCAUUCACAACAGCAAAUAGCACCUCCAUAGUUGCUAUAUCAAGAUAGAUUUUGGAUUAAGGCCGUUCCAAAUAUAUGACAUCUUAUAAGUGUUAUUUGAUAUUUAUGAGUCUAUUCCAGCAUCAAAUGUGAUUUUGUCAAAUAGUAGCACAUGUAAAGCCAUUGGAAUUAAUUCUAUUAUAGUGGAUGUAUUUAUAAAUGGAAAAAUCAAUAGAAUCAAAUUUAAAAAUAUCCUUUAUGUAUCUAAGAUAAAAUAAAACCUUUUUUUGCUGAGUAAACUUGUAAUGGAAGGUUUUGUCAAGAUAUACAAGCUGAAUUUAAUAAAAAUGGAUAUUUUGUAAGAAUAUUGUAUGAAAAUAUAGUUGUUAAAGACUCUAGAGAAGAAAAUUUGUACUACCUCAAGUGUAAGAUAGUCAAUAGAGAGGAAGUAGUUGUAUUUAUUGAAUUUACAUCAAAUCAAGAGAAGUUGAAUAUAUGGCAUCGUUGCUUUGGCCAUUUGAAUGUGAAGAGUAUGGCAAGGCUUAAGUCUAUAGUAAAUGGCUUAGAUCUUGGCAAAACAAGCCAAAAUAUAAUACAACUCAUAUAUAAAAGAUGCAUAUAAGACAAACAAUAAAGAGCUUUAUUUCUAAGUGGUGUAGCAACAUCUACUACAAAGUUAUUGGAGAUUAUCUACUUUGUCUAAAAAGUGUUCUUGCAUCAAUGAUAUUAUAACAAGCUUGAAGUAGGAAACAACCUUAUAUUUUACAUAUGAUGACCUUUGGAUGUAUUGCAUAUAUAAAGAUACUAGAUUAUAUGAAAUAUUGAUGGUAAGUAUAUUGAAGAAGUGUUGAAACGAUUCAAUAUAGAAGAAUGCAAGUCUAUUGAAAUACCUUUGGAGGCCAAUUUAAAGUUGAUGAAACUCAUGGAUGAAGAUUAUGCAUAAGUUGACAAUGAAAUGCAAAGUAUUCUAUACAAAGUAGCAAUAGACUCAUUUAUAUAUGCAAUGGUGGCCACAAGCAUGGACCUUGCAAUUAGUAUGAGUGUUGUGAGCUUAUACAUGUCUAAAGCAUGACCUUUGUACUAGAUAAUAAUAAAGAAGAUAUUGAAAAAUUUAAAAGGUAUAAAAGACUUGAAGUUAUAUAUUGAUGGUAAAAACAUUGAUUUGUAAGGUUAUUGUGAUAUAGAUUGGACAGGAGAUGCAAAUGAAAGAAGAUUUCUAAUAGGAUAUUUAUUCUUUAUUGAAAUAAGAGCCAUUUCAUAGAAUUGCAAGAAACAAUCUACUAUUCCAAGAUCAACUAUAGAAGUUGAAUACAUAGAAGCAAAUUAUUAUACAAUGAAAACAUGAUAGAUAAGACAACUCUUAGAAGACAUUAGACUAGUAUAAUUAGAAGCAAUUCUAAUAAUGUGUGGCAGUCAAAGAUAUCUUGUAUUUUCUAAGAUUCCAAAAUAUCAUUCAAGAAUCAAAUAUAUUGAUAUUUAAUAUCAUUUUAUAUCAAAAAAAAAUUAAAGAUGUAAUAAUAGGUAUCAAAUAUUAUACUACAAAAGACAUGCUUCUUGAUCUUCUUACAAAAGCAUUGAUUAAGGAUAAACACCACAAAUUGAUAGAGGCAUUAGGCUUGAAAGUCUUUUGAAAAUUAACAAAGUGAGAGCGUUGAAGAUAUUAAAAUAAGAAUAAGAUAUAAUUACCUUAGAUAAGUUGUUAAUGGUUAAAGAGUAGUAAAAAAGUAAAGAUUACAUACUAAUGUGGUGGCUAAGUUAAUAAAAAUCUAAAAUUAAAUUAGAUGGAUGAAGAUGGUUAUAAAUGAAGUUUAACUACAAUAGAUGUAAACUCUUCCUAUAAAUAAAGAGUGUUGGAAGAAAGAAGAAUCUUACUCUAAGCUUCUCUUAGAUGUAAUCUUAUUAAUGCUAAGUAUUAUAGCUUUUAACUUCUUUUUUUUCAAUAGUUAACUUAUUAACCAAUUUUUUAACCUACCAAUCAAUUACAAACACAUAUAAAGUCAAAAUAGCAUUUGUAAAGUUUUUCUAAAAAAUAUUAUGAAAUAAAUUUAUUUUUAUAUAUUUUUAUUUAAUUAUAUAAAUAAAUAUUAUAUUAAAUAUGUAUGUUCAUGAUAGAUAGCUUUCAUAUAUAUGACAAAAGAAGGAUUAUCUUUUAUUAUAUAUGCCAUGCUUAUUUUUAAUGGUCAAAAGACAUCAAAUAGUAUUCUUAGCUAGUAUCAAGAUUUUUAGGACAUUUUUGAAAAGAAAAAUGUAAAUAUUCUUUUAAAACAUCAAUUCCAUAAUUGUUCAAUUAAUCUUCAAGAAAAAGCUCAAUCACCAUUUGGACCAAUCUUCAGCUUAUUGCAAAAUAGGUUGAUUGUACUAAAGAAGUAUAUUGAUAAGAACUUAGGUAAAAACUUCAUAUGCUAUUCAAAAUCUCCAAUAGGAGCUUCUAUCUUGUUUUUAAAGAAAAAAUAUGGAUCUCUAUAGAUGUACGUAGACUAUAGAGGACUUAAUAAGAUCACUAUUAAAAAUAAAUAUCCUUUACUUUUGAUUUUAAGACUUCUUGAUCAACUCAAUUAAACAAAGAUCUAUACAAAAAUAGAUCUAUGAAAAAUGUACAACUUGGUCUACAUUAAAAAAGGAGAUGAAUGGAAAACUAAUUUUUAAACUAGGUAUAGACAUUUUGAAUAUAAUGUCAUGCCUUUUAGAUUAACAAAUACACUAGCCAUUUUUCAACAUCUUAUAAAUAAUAUUUUUUGUAAGUUUCUUAAUAAUUGCUAUAUCUGUUAUUUAGAUGUUAUUUGAAUCAAUUUUAAGAACACAAAAGAACAUGAAUUUUAUGUUUGUCAUAUAUUACAAAAACUUUAAAAUGUAAGAUUAUAUGCCAAGAUAAAAAAAUAUAUAUUCUACAUUAUUCAAGUUGACUUUUUAAGAUAUAUUAUUUCCAAAAAAGAUCUUAUAAUGGAUGCUAAGAAGGUUCAAAUUAUUAUAGAUUAGAAGAUUUUAAAAAUAAUUAGAGGUGUAUAAUAUUUUAUAAAAUUUACGAAUUACUAUUGAAUCUUCAUCAAGAACUUUUUUUAAGUUGCAACUAUUCUUAUAAGUUUGAUUUGUAAGGAAAAACUUAAUUGGAGUAAAGAAAUUGAAGUAUCUUUUGAAGCAUUGAAGAUAAUAUUUAUUUCUAUACCAAUUUAUAUAAUGUUAAUUUUUCUAAGGUAUUUUUUAUGGAAAUAAAUACAUCAGACUUUGUUAUGAGUGUGGUUUUGUUACAUACAAGAGUAGAUGAUAUGUUCUAAUUGAUGGAUUUUUAUUUUAUGAAAUUUUUAGCAGCUAAGAUUAAUUACAAGAUUUGUGAAAAUUUGUUUUUUUUUUGCAAUUGUGGAUUUAUUUUAAAAGUGGUGUUAUUAUCUAAAAGGUACUUUUAAUCUAAUCAUCAUAUAUAAAAAUGACAAGAACCUUGAAUACUUCAUAUUGACACAUAUUUUGAAUUAUUACCAAGCCCAUUAAAGCAUGUUCUUAUCAAGAUUUGAUUUUAAGAUCACUUAUUGAUUUAAAAAAUAACAAGGUUUGUUAGAUAUUAAUUCCACAUAUUCUUAUUUUGUACCAAAAAAAGGAAAUGUAGCUUUUAAUUAAUAAAAAAUGAUUCUCAUAAAGUAAGAGCAUUUUCAUCUUCAAGCAAUGAAAUCAAUAUUAAUUGUUGAUUCAAUCUUUUUCAAAUAAGUUUAAUAAAGUAUGUCCUUUGAUUUUCUUGUUCGUAAUAUUAAGGAUAAUUAUUUUAAGUCUUAUGAUACUUCUAAGUUUUAGUUUAAGAAUAAUCUACUCUAUUUUGAAAGAUGAUUAUAUAUUCUAAAAGCAAAGUAUAAUUACAUGUUCUUCAAGCUAAUCACAAAUUUUCAACAAUCAGAUAUUUUAGACAUAAUAAGAUUUUAGAGCUAACAUUUAAAGAUUUUUGAUAGCUUCAUAUAUAGAAGGAAAUAAAAGAAUUUUUAUAAAUAUGUGAUAUUUGUUUAAGAUCAAAAAUUUCUCAUCAUUGAUCUUAUAGACUUUUUUAGCCAUUUUCUAUUUCAAAAUAAUUAUGAUCUCUUGUUUCUAUGGACUUUAUCAUAAUUUUUUAAUUUCAAUUUUAUAUGAUUUUAUAUUCAUGAUAGUAGAUUUUUUUACCAAGAUGGUAUAUUUUGUAUUAUGUUCAAAAUCUAUUAGAGAUAAAGAAACAAUUAAGCUUCUUCUAAACAAUAUUUAUUGCUAUUAUGAAUUGUUAUCAAGGACAUGAAUCUCAAAGAAAGAAAUCUUCAAUAUACUCUUAGGUCAUUUAAAAGAACUAGAAAGUCACUCAAAGAUGAUAUACUAUUAAAUUAGAAUGACUAUUAUGAAAAAUAAGAAGAUUAAAAAGUCUUGAAACAAGACUAAGGACUAAAAAGGUAUUGACAAGAAUAAAGAAGGCUUCACUUUUUUCUCUAUAUAUAUUCUUAACUAGAAGCUAUAUAGAAAUAUCCUAUGUAACCUUCAAAACAUGUUGACUUUACAAGAUAUGUAUCUUAACUUACAAGACAAGUUUUCUAUAUGUAUGCUAAAAAGUUAGCUUAUUUUAUAAGCUAUCAAUACAUGAUUAAUUUUUUGACUAAGUUUCUAAUUUACUCAUCAACUAUAAAUACAUGUAAAGUCAAAGUAAUGUUUAUGAAGCUUCUAAGAAGCUUUUCUAAAAAAUAUUAUGAAAUAAAUUUAUUUUUAUUUACUUCUAUUUAAUCAUAUAGCUAAAUAUUAGAGCAAGUAUAUAUAUCCAUGACAUUACCUCCCCUUCUAGAGACAAAUUCUACAAGGAGCAAUUAUCAUCUUUUAUAGAACUUCAUCUUGAUUUUGAUAGAUAUUGUCAAUAAAAAUUUUCAACCUUCUUUGCUAUAUUUGUAAGUUUUUUUUGCUGGCUCUUAUAUACAUUCACUAAUAUCAUAUAUAUCCCAAUGAAUAAAAUAUUCUAAUCUAUUUUGGCGUUGCCUUAAAUCUAAGACUUCUUUUACAUCAAAUUCUUGAUUAUUAUCUACUUUUAUAGGAAAAGGUGGCAUUUGUCUUCUUUUGAGAUAUUCAUUGUCUUAUAUGGCUCAAAAAGAGACACAUGGAAUAUGAUGUUGUAUUGUGAUUUGGCUACUAUGAGAAAAUAAUAUAUAUAUAUAUAUAUAUAUAUAUAUUUAAUAUAUAGCUUACUAUACAAUGUAGUGAAAGCCAUGUUAUUAGAUUUUAAUUGGUUACAAAAUAUGAUUAGAUUACUACUUUGAAGUGAUUAGUUUGAAUAUACUAUUAUUGAAAUUGAUUUUAUAUUGAUAAUAGUUUUAUUUAUUUAGAACCAUUCUUAUUAGACAUUGGUAAAUCUUGAAAUCUUACUCUAUUUUUAUUAUUUCGUAUUUAGGGCAUAUAUUAUGUAACUCUUAUUAAAAAAAAGAUUAGAGAAGAUUUUUGAUAGCAAAAAAAAUAGUUAGAAAAUUUAUAUGGAUGAAUGGAGAUAAAUGAUAAAAAGCUUGAUUCUUAUUGGCCAAAAUUCAUGCCUAAUGGACUUCGAGGAGGUUGCUUGAGGCCUUAUUAAGAAUAAGGGUCACUCUUUUGAAGCCAUUUAAUCUCUGGAGGUUAAAAUCAAGAAGUUUAGGAUUUUGGCUAUGAUUUUGGUAUAAAUUUUAGGUGAUUUAGAAUUUUUAUGAAAGAGAUAUAAGUACUCAAAGUUAACGUAUUGGUUUUAUAGCUACUAUCACAUUUUUAGACAUAAUGCAAGUAUAUAGAAAUCAAUGAAAGAUUGACAACCAAUGUCGUAUUGUCAUUUAGCUACCAUGUAAAAAUAAUUUGAUUAUAUAUUUAAUGUAUAAUUUAUUUAAUAACAUGGACAAAUAUUAUGUGAAUCUUAUACAAAAAAAAUUGAAGAAAGAUUUUGGUAGCAAAAAGAGUGGUUAAGGCAUCUAUAUAGAUGAAUGGAGAUGGAUGAUUAAAUCUCCCUUCCUAUUGGUCAAAAAUCAUCUCCAAUGGGCUACAAGGAUACUACCCGAGGCCAUAUUAGGGAUUAAGGUUAGUCUUUUAGGAAGAUUUUCGAACAUUGGAGACUAAGGUUAAUAGAUUCAAGUUUUUGAUUAUGAUUUUGGCAAAAUUUUUGAAUCAUUUGGAGUUUUUAUCAAGGAGAUAUAGGCGCUCAAAGUCGAGGUGUUGAUUUUAUACUUGUUGUCUUUCUUUUGGAUAUAACACACACGUAUGGAAAGCAACUCAGGAUUGGUAAGUAGGGUUGGAGAGAACACUUUCUUAACUAUACUUUACAUAUACUACUUAAUGAAUUCUAAGCCGGAAUAAUAGAAAUAUUAGAAGUUGAAGUCAAUGCUUGGAAUCUAAAGAGAAGUAAGUGACUUGAAUUACUAAUGGUUGUGUUUUGAGCUAUAUCUUAUGCAACUUGACAAGAUUUUAGCUAAAAAUUUUCAAGAAUGUAUUUUUUCAUAUUACUAAACUUUAUAUAUAAGUUUUGUGGCAUUUGAGUGUUAGAUCAGUAAGAUAUGGUGAAAUCAAUAUAUGAAUGUUUUUAAAGGUGAUAUAUACCAAAUUUGCUAUUGAAUAGACAAUAUCUAGAGUUUGGUAAUAAAUUUAUGAUUGAUUUUUUGUGCAUAAAAAAAUAUUAUAUUAUAUUAUACAGAAGUUAAGAGUAUUGUCUUACUCCUCAAAAAUUUUGAACUCAAUCCAAUGGUUGGAUUGGAAAAAUCUGAGUGCUGAAGUUCUGUAAUUUUGAAGGGAUUAUUGUUAUUGGUUAUUGAUCACUGUUACUACUAUUGGUUAUUUUUACUACUAUUAAUUACUGUUACUAGUCAUUGAUUAUUGUUACUAGUUAUUAGUUAUUAUAAUUGGUUAUUUUUUAUUAUUAUUGGUUAUUAAUUAUUAUUACUACUAUUGGUUACUGUUAUUGGUUAUUAAUUAUUAUUACUACUAUUGGUUAUUAUUACUAGUUAUUAAUUAUUGUUACUAGUUAUUGGUUACUGUUACUGGUUAUUGAUUAUUGUUAGUGGUUAUUAGUUAUUGUUACUACUAUUGGUUAUUAUUAUUGGUUAUUGAUUACUAUUACUAGUAUUGGUUAUUGUUAUCAGUUAUUAUUAAUACUAUUGGUUAUUAUUACCAAAGCCAAUUACUAUUAUUAUCAUUGAUUAUUAUUACUAAAAUUACUAUAUUUAUGGAAUUUUAGUAAUUUUUUAGUGUUGCAAAUAAAAUUCAGGUUGAAUGAUUUUAAACGUAGUUACCAAUUAAAAGAUAGUUUGAUAAACUCAAGAAGUUGAAGGUGUAGUUAAGAAUAUAAAGACUUUUCUUGGAUUAUAUAAAUAAAAUUUAUGUACAAAAGCUUAUGAUAUAUAAAAGCUUUGUUUGGUUAAUUUAUGCAAUUUUUUUUUCUUAGUUGUUUGUUUUGAUCUUCCAUUGAAGAUAAAUUGGUUGUUGAGUAAGAAGCCAUUAAAUCAAAAAAGAGCUUUCUACAACUAGGUACUUAGUGUAUUUUCAGAUAGAAAAAUACGUACUUUGAUAUUGGAUUAAAGAGAAUAUUUUCUUAGAUAUACUUUCUACAUAUUGCUUGAUGAAUUUAAAGUUAAGAUGAAGAAAAUAUAUGAAGUUAUUGAUGGCUAAUAAGAUCUAUCAAAUAUCUUCAAAGACAACAAAGAUUAGAGUAUGUUGUAAAUAUAAUUUGCUACAUCUAAGACUUCUUGAACAUAUGAUCACUAGUCCUUAUGGAACUCGUGCCUAAAAGAGAGGGUAAUGUUAUGAAUAUAUAUCUACUAUAAUUAUUAUUCAAAUAAUAUGAAUAAAUAGAAGUAGGUAAAAAUAGAUUAAUUUUAUAAUAGUUAUUGAAGAAGCUUUUCAAAAGCUUCCUAGAUGCUAUUUUGACUUUAUAUGUAUUUGUAGUUGAUUGAUUGUCAAGGACAAGAACUCAAUGAAAAAACAAUUCAGACAAGCGAGCCUUCACUCAAAGAGAGGUAACAAAAUAUAUAUAAACAAGUAUAUAUAUUGAAAUAGAAACUGGAAUGGCUAUUGCCAAAAGACAAGAAAACUAGAGACCCUUGAAACUAGACUAGAAGCAAGAAAGGAGUUGACAAGAGUGAAGAAGCCUUCACUCUUGUCUCUAUAUAUACUAUCUAAUUAGGAGCUACGUGGCGACGUUCUAUAGGACCUCCAAUAUGUGUUGACUUUGUAGGACACAUGCCUUGACUUACAAGGCAAGUUUUUCUAUGUGUGGGCCACAUAGUUAGCUUGAUCUUCAAGCUAACAACAUGUGUGGCACAUGGCCAACUUGUUGACCACGUUUCUAAUCCAAAAAGUCAAUUAAAGACACCUAUGAAGUCAAAGCAGUGUCUAAGAAGUUUCUAAGAAGCUUCCAUAUUAAAUAUUAUAGAAUUAACUUAUUUUUUCUACUUUUACUUACUUCUACCUAUUUCUAUAUGUAAUUAUUAGCUUACAUGAUUAUGGCCGUGACAUUAUCCCCCCUUCUAGAGACGAGUUCCACGAGGAGCUGUCAUCAUAUGUUGAAGAAAUCUAUGAUGCGACGAAUUGUAUUCGCCACAUACUUUGAUCUCUGUUCUCUUCGAAGAUGAUUGAUAGGGCCUCUCAACCAUCGGUAGUGUCCCAUAUCAGGGUGGGAAGACCACCCAGUUAUUUGAUCAUUGUUGAGGCCUUCGUAACUUCCUUCAAAUAGAAUAUUCGGAACACCAUCAGGAGUUGUUCCUACCUCUAACAAAAUCACCAAACAUCGAGAGUCCCUUCCCAAAUCGUGAUACCAAACACGUUGUAUCUCACCAUCUAUUCAAGGAAGAACAUGUCGUUCUUGAAGAUCUUCAUCUCGAUUGCGUCGUCUUGAAGGUUGUGACAAUCGUAAUGUCUCGUCCGGCAGGUCAGCAAACGGAGGUUCUUGAGUUGAAUCCGCUGGUUGAUGGCUCUCUAUCUAAUUAGCAUCACAACUGCAAAGAAGUUACAAACAAGGAUAGGAAAUUGAAUGUUAUCUUGCCUCAAUCUUGUCUCUUUUAUAAGAGAGAUUUUCAUCUUGGUUUUGAUGGAUGUCGUUGAUGAAAAACUUUGACUUUAGCUGAUGCAUUUGCUAGAUUCCUAGAUGGCUCCCAUGUGCGUUCACUAAUAUCAUAUCCGCGCCAAUGAACAAGAUAUUCCAGCUUAUUUCGGCGCCGCCUUGAGUCUAAUAUCUCUUCCACCUCAAAUUCUUCAUUAUUAUCUACUUCUAUAGAAGGCGGUGGCAUUUGUCUUCUUCCUUGUAUAUCCACUGUCUUAUAUGGUUCAAGAAGAGACACGUGGAAUACAGGAUGGAUCUUCAUUGACUCCGGUAGAUGUAACCGAUAUGCAACUGGGUUGAUCUGUUCAGAAACAGAAAAGGGGCCAAGCCUACAAUAGUCCAACUUGUCACAAGGUCGAGUAGUCUUGAUAUUGCGACGAAGUAGCCAUACCUUAUCACCCACGUUGAUUUGUGGUUGCUCCUUACGAUAUAGAUCUACAUUUAUUUUUUGUCGUUCUUGAGCUUCCUUCAAUUGCGUCUUCAUUAUUGCAUGUAACUCUGACAACCGAUUUGCCAUAUCUUCUGCUGCAGGAUUAUCAACUUUUGAAAAAUCAAAAGUAUCAAGUCGUGGAUGAUAGCCAUAAUUGGCAAAGAAAGGUGUUUGUUCCAUGGAAGAAUGUACCGUAUUAUUAUAAGCAAAUUCUGCCAUUGGCAGAAAGGUUGUCCAAUCAUCUUGUUGAUAGUUGAUAGUACACCUUAAAUAUUGCUCCAAGACUUGGUUUACGCGCUCUGUUUGUCCAUCAGUUUGAGGAUGGAAAGCCGAAGAUAGUUUUAUGUCCACUUUUAAAAUCUUGAAAAGGAUCCUCCAAAAUCUUGACACAAAUUGAGUUCCCCUAUCCGAUAUGAUAUCUUUAGGUAAUCCAUGAUAGUGAUAGAUAUUUUCAAUGAAAAGCUUAGCUGUUUCUUCACCUGUGAUAGAUUUUGUACAUGGCACAAAAUGUGCCAUCUUGGUGAAACGAUCUACUAUCACAAAUAUAGAAUCAUAAGAUGUUGAGCUUGGAAGAUCUAUGAUGAAAUCCAUAGAAACAGAAGACCAUGGUUGUUCUGGGAUAGGUAAUGGCUGAAGAAGUCCGUAAGGUCGAUGACGAGGAAUUUUUGAUCUUGAACAAAUAUCACAUGAUUGUACAAAGUCUUUGACUGACUUCUACAUUUGUGGCCACCAAAAAUCUCUUGAUAUGAGUUCCAAAGUCUUAUUAUAUCCAAAGUGCCCUUCUGCUGGAAAGUCAUGACGUGCUUGAAGAACACGUAAACGUGCUUCUCCUUCUGGAACAUAUAGGCGUCCUUCAAAAUAUAAUAGAUUAUUCUUGAACUCGAACUUAGAAGGAUCAUGAGACUUGGAAGAAUUAUUCUCGAUAUCAUAAACAAGAGGGUCUGAGGACAUACUGGACUGGAUUUGCUUGAGAAAAGUUGAAUCAACCAUCAAUGUUGAUUUCAUUGCUCGGAGAUGAAAUUGCUCUAGUUUCAAGAGGACCGUUCGUUGUUGCUCAAAAGCUGCAUCUCCUUCUUUUGGUACAAAAUAAGAACGUCUAGAUAGGGCAUCGGACAAACCUUGUUGUUUUCCUGACUGAUAAGUGAUAAUGAACUCGAAUCUUGACAAAGACAUACUCCAACGAGCUUGACGCCGAUUCAACACGAGUGCUGACAUGAAAUACUCGAGGUUCUUGUGAUCUGUAUACACAAUGACUGGACUAGAAGCGCCUUGUAGAUAAUGACGCCAUUCUUGAAAGGAAUCCAUGAUCGCAAGAAGUUCUUUAUUGUGGAUCUCAUAAUUGAUCUUGGCUGUUGAGAAUUUUUUGGAAUGAAAAGCUAUCGGAUGAAGUUUGUCAUCUCAUCCCAUUUGUGAUAAAACUGCACCCAAGGCAAAAUUUGAUGCAUCUGUUUCCAUAAAAAAUGCCUUGGAAAAGUCAACAUGAUAUAAGACUGGUGCAGAGACAAACGAUGUCUUCAAGGCUUCAAAUGCUGCUUCCGCUUCUUGAUUCCAUUGGAAUUUAUCUUUACUAGUCAAGCAUGUAAGUGGAGCUGCAACUCGUGAGAAAUCUUUGAUGAAGAUCCAAUAGUAAUUGGCAAAUCCCAAGAAACAUUGGACAUCUCUUACUGUCCUUGGAAUCUUCCAAUCUAUGAUUGUUUGGACUUUCUUAGAAUCCAUCAUGAGACCAUCAUUUGAAAUGAUGUAUCCUAAAAAGUCAACUUGAGUAGUGUGAAAUAUACACUUUUCCAUCUUAGCGUACAAUCCUGCAUCUCUAAGUUUUUGUAAUACUUGACGAACAUGUAUUUCAUGUUCUUCGACGUUCUUAGAAUAGAUCAGGAUAUCGUCUAGAUAGCAGACGACAAAAUUGUCUAAGAAUUCACGAAAUACAUCAUUCAUGAGAUGUUGAAAAGCAGCUGGUGCAUUUGUGAGUCCAAAGGGCAUGACAUUAUAUUCGAAAUGUCCAUACCUGGUUCGAAACGCAGUCUUCCAUUCAUCUCCUUCUUUGAUCUGUACUAAAUUAUAUGCUCCUCUUAGAUCUAUUUUUGUAUAGAUCUUAGCUUGAUUCAACUGGUCAAGGACUCCUGAUAUCAAAGGUAAUGGAUACCUGUUCUUGAUUGUGAUCUUGUUGAGUCCUCGAUAAUCAACACACAUUCGUAAAGAUCCAUCUUUUUUCUUUACGAAUAGAAUUGGAGCUCCUGUUGGAAAUUUUGAAUGGCGUAUGAAAUUCUUCGCUAAAUUCUCGUCAAUAUAUGUCUUGAGUUCAGCCAUCUCAUCUUGCGAUAAACUGUAAAUUGGUCCAAAUGGUGGCUGAGUUCCUUCCUUGAGGUCGAUUGAACAAUCAUAUGGGCGAUGCUUAGGAAGAAUAUCUGCAUUUUUUUUCUCAAAAACGUCUUGAUACUCCUGAUAUUGACUUGGAAUGCCACUUGAAGUCUUUACGUUUUCAGAAAUAGGUGCAGCAUAAAUAGCAAAAGUUGAUCCUUCUUUUGCUGCGUGUAUAAAUGCUUUUGCACCUAUCAGUACGGGUUUUAUUAUACUAAACUUAUAAUUUUUUACUUGGUUGGUAGAACUAUUAAUAACGCUCUGGGAAAAGUCAAGUUUACUCAAAUUCUAAUCUAUUCGAGGGUUAUAUUUUUCUAGCCAGGAUAAACCUAAAAUAACUGGAUUGGACGGGGAUUUAAUUAUGUUAAAAGCUAUGUAGCUAUCAUGACCGUCUAUUGUUACUUUUAUAGGAUGAGUUUCAUGAGUGACAUCUCCAGAAGACAAGAGACGACCAUCUAUGACUUCUACAUGUACUGGUUUAGGUUUCUGUACAAAGUGUAUUUUACGACUUUUAACAAAUUGUUCAUGUAAAAAACAUGCUGAGGCUCCCCAAUCUAAUAAAGCAGAGGCUUUGUAAUUCUUAGGUCCUAAAUAUAAGUCUAUUAUAAAAUAAGGAGAGGGUUCUGAGGAGAGGAUAGGACCUUCAUUAGGAAUUGUACAAGGUUCCCGCUGCACGGUCCCUAUUGUAGCUGGACGAAUCCGUUUUUCGACAUGUUGUCUUCUUUGACCGUCGUACCCUUCAUUUUAUAGUUGCGUCAUUUUUUUGGAUAAUGUUGAGCAGUGUGCUUAGGUUCUCCGCAAUAUAAACAUAAUCCUUCUUGACGACGACGAAUCUUUUCUUGCUCAGUUAGGGGUUUAAAACGUACCGCGUCAAUUUGCAUGUCUUCUACUUCCGAAUGUACGUUUGGCAAAGAUGUUGAUAUUGCCAUUGAGUAAUAACGUUGAAGUUCCCGUGAAUGAUUCUUGGAUCAAAAUUCGAAAAGUCGAUUAUCACAUUUUACCGCAAAAUCGAUUGCUUGACUCAAAGUUUGAGGAUCAAGUAAGUUGAGCAUCAAUUUCUUUACUUCGUAUUGCAAUCCAUAAAGAAAUUGACUGAUGAGUGCAGCAUCAUCCCACUUGAUGUCAAUUGCAAGUUGUCAAAAUUGUGAAGCAUACACUGUUACUGAGCGAUUUCCUUGUCGCAGAAUUCGGAUCUUAUUUGUUGCAACACGAGUUGCAUCAUGUUCACCAUACAUAGAUCGAAACUCCGCCAAAAAAGCUUCCAAAUUGUCCAAUAUUGGAUUUUGUUGUUCAAGAAAAGACGAAAACCACGAUAAUGCAGAACCAAAAAGUAGAGUGCCAAUAAAUCUGACUUGUGAUCCUGGAGUUGGAUAGCUUUGCGGUUGAAGUUCAAUUGCCAAUUGUAUUUGAUUGAUGAACCCUCGAAACUUUGAUCUCGUACCAUCAAAUUUCUCGGGUAAGGUAAUUCUUGGUUCUCUAGUGCUUACAGAGUGUUGUACAAUUGGAGAAGGAACGUGAUUUGUUGUAGAUGUUGAAGCAGCUCCGAUCAUCUCUAUAUCCCCACUUUCUGCUAUUCUUGUUCUUUCCUGUGUUGGUGAAUUGAGUUGAUGCAUCACAAGCAUUAACUCCCUCAUUUGCUCUUGCAUUUGUGCCAUUGCACUCUUCAUUUCAAUAAGCUCUGCCAUAAUAACACUAAGAAGAAAAAUUUGUUUGAUACUGCUCAAGACAAAAGAAAAGAAAGACUUGAUAACAAAGAAGAUACUAAAAACAAUAUCAGUUUAGAAGUGGGUAAACCGCAAACUUCCAAUAUGCUUAUGUCUUGUCAAGAGAAAGGGGUAAUCCACUCUUACUCAAGAAAAAACAAAGCUCUGAUAUUGUAAAUGCACUCUUGUCAAUCUGUCAAGGACAAGAACUCGAUGAAAAAAUAAUUCAGACAAGCGAGCCUUCACUCAAAGAGAGGUAACAAAAUAUAUAUAAACAAGUAUAUAUAUUGAAAUAGAAACUGGAAUGGCUAUUGCCAAAAGACAAGAAAACUAGAGACCCUUGAAACUAGACUAGAAGCAAGAAAGGAGUUGACAAGAGUGAAGAAGCCUUCACUCUUGUCUCUAUAUAUACUAUCUAAUUAGGAGCUACGUGGCGACGUUCUAUAGGACCUCCAAUAUGUGUUGACUUUGUAGGACACAUGCCUUGACUUACAAGGCAAUUUUUUCUAUGUGUGGGCCACAUAGUUAGCUUGAUCUUCAAGCUAACAACAUGUGUGGCACAUGGCCAACUUGUUGACCACGUUUCUAAUCCAAAAAGUCAAUUAAAGACACCUAUGAAGUCAAAGCAGCGUCUAGGAAGUUUCUAGGAAGCUUCUAUAUUAAAUAUUAUAGAAUUAACUUACUUUUAUGUACUUUUACUUACUUCUACCUAUUUCUAUAUGUAAUUAUUAGCUUACAUGAUUAUGGCCGUGACAUUGAUAGGUUAAAAACUUGGUUUCAAGGACAUGAAUCUCAAAGAAAGAAAUCUUCAAUAUAUUCUUGUGACAUUGAAAAGAAUUAAAAAAUCAUUCUAAGAUGAUAUAUUAUUGAACUAGAAUAGCUAUUAUCAAAAACAAAAAGACUAGAAAAUCUUAAAAUAAGACUAAAGAUUAGAAAGACAUUGACAAGAGUAAAGAAGGCUUUACUCUUGCCUCCAUAUAUAUUCUUAACUAGGAGCUAUGUGGUGAUGUCCUAUAGGACCUCUAAUAUGUGUUGACUUUAUAAGACACGUAUCUUAAUUCAUAAGGCAAGUUUUUUAUAUGUGCACUACAUAGUUAGCUUAUUUUGCAAGCUACUAACAUGUUGUCAUGAUGUAAAAUGGCUAAUAGGUGAAAAGGUGAAGAAAAUAUCAUAUUUUUGAAGAUUUUAUUUUAAAUAUAUUGUAACAAAUUAUCUUAGAAAAAUAGAUAAUAAUCAAGGAGUAGAAAAAUUAAAGAUGCUAAUACUGCCUUUUUACAAAAUAGGCUUCUACUCACUUUGUAGGACCACUAAUAGAAAAAAAUAAGGUAGAUUAAAAAAUAAACAAUAUAGACACAUUUGAAAAGAAGUUAAGAGUAGUUUUUAGUAAAAAUUACCUAAAAAAAUUAGAUAUUGAUACCCAAAGAAGGCCAGUUAUGAACCAAGAUUGAAAUCAAAUUCCAAGGCACAAAACUAAGCUCUGACAAUGAUUUAGAGAUUCUUUUGGCAAUCAGAGGAUAAGAUCUAAGAGCUGACUUUAUAGGUUUUUUUUGAGUAUUGAUUUGAUGUGAUUUGAGUGUGUAUUGACUUUGUAAGAGCUUUGCAAAGUUGAGAUUUGUUUUGGAUACUCUGGAUUUGUGAAAUAAAAAAGUGAUAAUUUUUGGAGAAUUUUGUAAGAUUGACAUAGAUCUAUAGAUGAAAUUUUGAGGAUUUUUGGAUAUAUAUGUGUUAAAUAUAUGUUGUGAGUUUUAGCUUGAUCAAAGGGUUGGAUCAAGGAUUAUUGAGGUUUAAGUGGAUUGGAAUCUCAAAAAGUAGAGUUUUAAGUCAAGGGUUUUUAAGAUUUCUUACAAUCUGUUGGUUGGAUUGAAGUGAAAGUUGUGUAUGUAGAUAAUAUGCUUAUUUUCUUAUGUAUAUGAGAAAUUUGAGAUCAAUCUAAUAGUUCAAUAAGGAGAUAUUGAUGCUAAAAAUUCAACAUUUAGAUUGAAGAAGGAGGUCAGCCAACAUUCGAACAAAUAUUAGGGUUGAUCUUUUUUUUAGUGAUUUCGAUCUGUUUUAAAACUUUUGUGCUUAUUAUCAACUUAAUUUUAAAGAAGUGUGAAUAUUUUGAAUUAAGAUCAAUGGUUCAUUCAUUAGUUAUUGAGAUUUAAAUCUGCUCUAGGAAUUAAUUGGAUUUAUUUAGGAUUUGAUUAAAGUAUGUUUAGGAUUUGAUUAGCAUUCGAUUAAAUUUUUUUUAAGUUUGUUUAGCUUUAUUUAGGAUUUGGUUAGGAUUUUACUAGGAUUUUACUAGGAUUUAUUUAGGAUUUGGUUAGGAUAUGUUUAAGAUUUGAUUAGGGUUUAAUUAAAAUUUGUUUAGAUAUAUUUAGGAUAUAGUUAGGAUUUUUUUAGGAUUUUUUUAGGAUUUGACUAAGAUUUGGUUAAGAUUAAUUUAGGAUUUGUUUAAGAUUUGGUCAAAAUUUGGUUAAGAUUUGAUUAGAAUUUGGUUAAGAUUUGAUUAGGAUUUGUUACGGUUUGACUAGGAUUUGGUUAGGAUUGGCUAAGGAUUUUUUUGGAUUUGUUUAGGAUUUGACUAAGAUGUAUUUAGGAUUAGAUUAGGAUUUAAUUAGGAUUUGAUUAGGAUUUGUUUAGGAUUUUAAUAGGAUUUAAUUAAGAUUUUUAUUUUAAUAUUUUAUUAAGAUUUCUAUUUUACUAUAUUUUUGAAUUCUAUAUUAUUUCUUUAUGAUUUCUUUAAAGAUUCUUUAAAAAUACUUUGUAUUUCUUACAAAAUUAUUUUGAAUUUUUGAUUGAAUUUAAUUUGAUAUUUGAUUAUAUUUGCUAAUUUUUAAUUAUAAUUUGUUUAAAAAUCUAUUAGAGUUGUUAGAACUUAUUGUAAUUUUCCUUUUAUCUUCCACAGCCAAUUGCCUAGUGCAUUCUCAAGCCAAAUGCCACAUAAUACAACAACGAAGUUAACUUAUUGACCAAGUUUCUAACCUACCAAUCAACUACAAAUAUUUAUAAAGUCAAAGCAUCAUCUAUGAAGCUUCUAGGAAGCUUUUCUAGAAGAUAUUAUAAAAUAAACUUACUUUUAUCUAUUUUUCCCUACUUCUAUUUUAUCAUAUAGGUAUUUAUUAGAGUAUGUAUAUAUAUCUAUGACAUUACCCCUCUCUUAUAGAGAUAAGUUCUAUGACGAGCAGUAAUAAUGAGUUGAUGAAAUCCAAGAUGCAAUGAAUUAUAUUUUUCACAUACUCUGAUCUUUGUUCUCUUCAAAGAUGGUUGGUAGGUCCUCUCAGCCAUUGAUAGUAUCCUAUACUCAAGCAAAAAGAUCAUCCUUUUAUUUGAUCAUUGUUGAGGCCUUUAUAAUUUUCUUCAAAUAAAAUUUUCAAAAUACCUUUAAGAGUUGUUCUUACUUCUAAUAAAAUCACCAAACAUCGAGAGUUUCUUCUAAGAUCAUGAUACCAAAGACAUUGUAUCUUGCCAUCUAUUUGAUGGAUGUUGUUAAUAAAAAGCUUCAACUUUCUUUGUUACAUUUACAAGAUUCUUUGCUCGCUCUCAUGUAUGUUCACUAGUAUCAUAUCUAUACCAAUAAAUAAGAUAUCUCAACCUAUUUUAAUACCACUUUGAAUUUAAUACUUCUUCCACUUCAAAUUUUGAUUAUUAUCUACUUCUAUAGGAGGAGGUGGCAUUUGUCUUCUUUCUAAGAUAUUCACUAUCUUAUAUGGUUUAAGAAGAAAUAUGUGAAAUACAAGAUGGAUCUUUAUAGACUCCAGUAGAUAUAAUCAAUAAGUAAUAAGAUUGAUUUAUUUACUAAUAGGAAAAGGUCGAAGCCUAUAGUAAUCCAACUUGUCUCAAAGAUGGAUAGUCUUGAUAUUGUCAUGAAAUAACCAUAUCUUAUCACCUAUAUUGAAUUAAAGCUAUUCCUUGUAAUAUGCAUCUAUAUUAAUUUUCUAUCAUUCUUCAUUGUUGUAUAUAGCUGUGACAAAUGAUUUGUCAAAUCUUUUUUUAUAGGAUUAUUCAUUUUUAAAAAAUCAAAAGUAUCAAGUCAUGAAUGAUAACUAUAAUUAGUAAAAAAAGUUAUUUUAUAAGUAGAAGAAUGUACCAAAUUAUUAUAUAUAAAUUCUACCAAUGAUAAAAGAAUUAUUCAAUCAUUUUGAUGAUAGUUGAUGGUAUAUCUUAAGUACUAUUCCAAAAUGUUAUUCACCUAUUUUAUUUGUUCAUCAAUUUGAGGAUGAAAAGUCAAAGAAAGCUUUAUAUUCACUUUUAAAAUCUUAAUAUAAAUUGAAUCUUCGUACUUAAUAUAAUAUCUUUAGGCAAUCCAUGAUAGCAAUAGAUGUUGUUAAGAAAAAGCUUAGCCAUUUCUUCACUUGUGAUAGAUUUUAUACAUGGUAUAAAAUAUGCCAUCUUGGUAAUACUAUCUAUUACCAUGCAUAUAGAAUCAUACGAACUUGAGACUAGAAGAUCUGAGAUAAAAUCCAUAGAAACAAAAGACCAUAAUUUUUUUGAAAUAGAUAAUAGCUAAAGAAGUCCACAAGAUUGAUGGCGAGGGAUUUUCGAUCUUGAAAAAAUAUUAAAUGAUUGUACAAAGUCUUUGACUGUCUUCUACAUUUGAGGCCGCUAGAAAUCUCUUCAUAUUAAUUCUAAAGUCUUGUUGUAUCUAGAAUGUUUGGCUACUCAAAAGUCAUGACAAAUUUAAAAAACUCGUAAUCGUGUUCCGCCUUCUGGAAUAUAUAUAAUCAUCCUUCAAAAUAAAGUAGAUUAUUUUUCAACUUGAACUUCAAAAUAUCAUGAGAUUUAGAAGAGUUAUUCUUGAUAUUCUUAAUAAGAUGAUUAAAGGACAUACUUGAUUGAAUUUGCUUAACAAAGAUUGAAUCAACAAUCAAUAUUGAUUUUAGUUAAGUAUAUGUAAAAAAGAAUUAGGAGUUGGUUUUAGAAGAAUUUAUUUCAAAAGGGAUAAAAAUUGAUACCCAAAAAAGAUCAGUUACCAACUAGGGUCAAAAUUAAACCCCGAGGCACAAAACAAAACAUCAACAAUAAUUAUAGAGUUCUUUAAUUGAUUAGAAUGGAAUUGAAGAGCAGACUUGAUAGAAUUUCUAUAGGCAUUGAUUUUAAGGAUUUUAGAUAAAUAAUGACUUUGUAAGAGCUUUGCAAAGUUGAUGUUUUUUUUGGUGACUUUGGGUUUUAGAAAAUAAAAUAGGGUUGAUAUUUUGAGCAAUUUCAAGAGUUUGGUAACAGAUCUAUAGAUGAUUUUUUUUUUGGAUUUUUGGAUAUAAUUGUGCUAGAUGUGUGUUAUGAAUUUGGAUUUGAUUGAAUAGUUAGAUUGAAAAGCAUGAAGGUUUUUAUAGCUUAUGGUCUUAGAAUUUAGGAUUUUGAAGACUAGUGAGGUUUUCUUAGAUAUCUGUCAAUCCACCAAUUAGAUUGAGGCAAAUUUUUUGUAAAGGUAGUCAUCUUGAUUUUUAAUAAGUGUGUAAAGUUUGAAAGAAAACUAAUGAUUCAAUCAAGAGUAAUUGACUUUAGGAGAUUGGCAUCAAAAUUAGAAAAAGAGACCAGCUGACAUUCAAGGACAUUUUUGAGAUUAUUGUCUAUUUGGUUAUUUCGAUCCUUUUCAAAUUCUUUUUGUGCUUAUUGUUAACUUAAUUAGUAAAGAAUGUGAAAAAUUUGAGUUGAAAUCAAUAGUUUAAAUAUUAAUUAUUAAACUUUAAAAUCUAUUGUAAGGUUAUUCAAAAUUUAUUUUAAAUUUUAAAAAAUUAAUUAGGAUUUGAUUAAGGUUAAGAUUCAAGUAGGAUUUAGGUUUUGAUUAGGAUUAGGAUUUUAUUAGAGUUAUAAUUUUUUUAGGAUUAGGAUUUGAUUUGAUUUAAGAUUGGUUUGAAUUUCUUUAAGAUUUUUUUAGGAUUCUUUAGGAUUUCUUUUAGGAUUUCUUUUAGGAUUUCUUUUAGGUUUCUUUAGGAUUUUUUUUUGUUUUUUUUAUAAUUUAUUUCAAAAAUAAAAAAUAAAAAUAAAUAAAAAUAAUAAUAAAAAUAAUAAUAAUUGGACUUAAUUAAUGUUUGAUUAUGUUUUUUAAGCUUCUAUAGCAAUUUAUAUAUGAUUUUAUUAGAGUGGUUAGCACUUAUUGUAAAUUCCUUUUAUCUUCUACAACCAAGUGCCUAGUGCCUUCUCAAGCAAGAUUUCAUGUAAUACAACACCGACUUCAAGAAAAUUAUUUUUUGUUGAUCAAAAGAUGCAUCUCCUUCUUUUGAUGCAAGAUAAGAAUAUUUAGAAAGAGCAUCUGAUAAACCUUAUUAUUUUUUUGAAUGAUAAGUGGUUUUAAAAUCAAAUCUUGAUAAAAACAUACUCUAACGAGUUUGGCAAUGAUUCAAAACAUGUAUUGAUAUGAAAUACUCAAGGUUCUUAUAAUUUGUAUAUACUAUGAUUUGACUUGAAGUAUCUUCUAAAUAAUGAUGCUAUUCUUGAAAUGAAUCCAUGAUUGCAAAGAGCUCUUUGUCAUGGAUCUCAUAAUUAAUCUUGACUACUAAAUAUUUUUUGGAAUAAAAAGCUAGUAGAUAGAGUUUGUCAUUUGCUUCCAUUUGUAAUAAUAUUACACUUAAGGCAAAGUAUGAUGCAUGUAUUUCUAUGAAAAAUACCUUAGAAAAGUCUACAUGAUAUAAGAAUGGUGCAAAAAUAAAUUCUUUUUUUAAAAUAUCAAAUAAUAUUUUGACUUCUUUAUUCUACUUAAAUUUGUCUUUAUAACGUUGUCGUGUUGUGGUUUGGCUACUAUAUGAAAAUAACGUUAUUAUGUACUUAAUAUAUAAUUUACUAAAUAACAUGGUGAGAGCCAUGUCAGUAGAUCUUAGUUGGUUGUAGAAUAUAAUUUUAUUAUUAACUUGAAAAGAGGUUGUUUAAAAAGAUUACCUUAGAAUUUGUAUAGCUUUAAUUUCUUUUUUGAUAAUGGCUUUUAAGAUUGGUUUUGGUUGAUAGUAACUUCUAAAUAUUUAGAGUCACCUUUGUUAGACAUUGGUGACCUUUGGAAACUUAUUUUGAUUCUUUUAUUUGAUGUUUAGAACAUAAAUUAUGUAAAUCUUAUAAGAAAAAAGGAUUGGAGAAGAGUUUUGGUAGCAAAGGGAGUAAUUAGGACACCAAUAUAGAUGAAUGGAGAUGGAUGAUAAAAAUCUCCAUUCCUAUUGGUCAAAAAUCAUGACCAAUGGGCUUUGAGGAGGCUGCCUGAGGCCAUAUUAGGGAUUAGGAUUAGUUUCUCGGGCAUUUGAGCUUUGAAGGCUAGGAUCAGCAAGUUUAGGUUUUUGGCUAUGGUUUUGGUAUAAGUUUUGUAUGGUUUGGAGUUUAUAUAAAGGAGAUAUAGGUGCUCAAAGUUAAGGUAUUGAUUUGGAAGCUACUAUCACUCUUUUUGGCAUAACGCACGUAAUUGCUGUGCGUACGGACAUCAAUUGACGAUUGGCGACUGCGAUUGGAGAGAACACUUUUGCAACUAUAAUUUUUAUAGAUUGCUUGCUGGAUUCUAAGUUGAAGUAAAGGAGUUAUUAUAUUUUGAAGUCAUUUCAUGCAAUCUAAGAGUAAUAAGUGACCCAAUUUACUAGUGGUUGUGUCUUAAGCUAUAUCUUGAGCAAUUUGUCAAGGUUUUGGCUCAAAAUUUUAAGAAAUGAGUAAUUUCAUGUUAGUAAACUUUGUAAAUAAGUUUUAUGAUAUUUGAAUAUUGGAUUCUUGAGUUAUUAAGAAAAUAGUGCUCAAGUGCUUGUAAAUUAGGGUUUAAAGCGUCUGCUAGGGUUUCUUAGACAUCAAAAGAUUGAGAGUGAAUUUGCAAUUGGUUUUUUUUUUUAAUAAAAUUUAAGGAUAAAUUCUACCUAUCUUAUAAAUUUGAGACAAAUAAAACUAGUAGAUCAAGAGUUAUGAAUUUCUAAAGUUCAGGACAAAAAAAUCCUUCGUGGGAAAAAAUAUGUUUUGAAGGGAUUUUAUUAUAUUUUGAGUUUUAUGCAAAAUAAAAGAAUUUUAGAAGCUAAGAUAAGAUUCAUAUAAAGGUUUAAGCUUCACUCUCUACAGCUAGAUAUCUAGUGUAUUUCCACAUAGCAAAUCCUUCUUUAAUGCUACCAGAAAAUAUGCUCUUCAUAGAUCUAUUUUUGUAUAAAUCUUUAUUUGAUUGAAUUGAUCAAAAAUUCGUGAAAUCAAAGGUAGAAGAUACCUAUUCUUGAUAGUGAUCUUGUUGAAUCAUUGAUAGUCUACACACAUCUUUAAAGAUCCAUCUUUUUUCUUCAUAAAUAAGAUAGGAUCUCCAAGUAGAGAUUUAUAAUGGUAUAUGAAAUUCUUAGCCAAGUUCUUAUCAAUGUACUCUUUGAGUGUAAUCAACUCAUUUUGUGAUAAGAUAUAGAUUGGUCCAAAUGGUAGUUGAGUUCUUUCGUGAAGAUCAAUGGAACAAUUAUAAAGACAAUGCUUUGAAAGAAUAUUUGUAUUCUUCUUUUCAAAAAUAUCAUAGAAAUCUUGAUAUUACCUAAAAAUACUACUUAACAUCUUCUUACAAUCAAAAAUAGGUGUGGCAUAUAAAGCAAAAGAUAAUCUUUUUUUUGCGACAUCCACAAAAGCUCUUCCAUCUACCAAUAAGGAUUUGGAUGUAUUAGACUUAUGUGUUUCUAUUUGACUAACAAGUUUUUGGAUUAAACUAUUAAAAAAAUUAAGAUUACAAAGAUCUAAUCUAUCUCAAGGUUAUGAUUUUUUAAUUAAGGUAAUCUUAAAAUAAUCAAAUUGGAUAGAGAUCUUAUUACAUAAAUAUAACUAUUCUAUUAUGAUUUUUAAUUGCUAUAUCUAAAGAAAUAGUCUUAUGCAUAACAUCUCCAAAAGAUAGCAAAUGAUCAUCUAUGACUUCUACAUAUAUGAAUUUAAUUUAUUUGACUAAUAAUAUCACUUAUUUUUUGACGAAAUCAUUGUCUAUAAAAUAGGCUAAGGCUCCUAAAUCUAACAAAGCUAAGACUUUGUGAUUUUUUGAUUCUAAUUAAACUUUUAUAGUAAAAUAAGGUGAGAGAUUUGAAGAGAGAAUAGAACCUUCACUAGGAAUUAUGCAAGAUUCCAGCCAUGCGGUCUCUAUUGUAGCUAGAGAAACUUAUUUUCUAACACAUUGUCUUUUUUAGCAACCAUACUUCUCAUUUUGUGGUUGUGUUGUUUCUUUGGACAAUGUUGAGCAGUGUGUAUAGCUUCUCUACAAUAUAAGCUUAAGCCCUUUUUACAUCGUCAAGUCUUUUUCUACUUUGUGAGGGAUUUAAAAUAUAUCAUAUCAAUUUGCAUUUGUUCUGGCCUUGAUGAAUAAGUUUCUGAAAACUUAGGUGGUAGUGUCAUUAUUUGAUUUAUCCUUCUAUAGCUAAGUCUUUGUUCUUAAUGCCUUUUAAAUAAUUGAUUAUUGCAUGCAAUGGCUUAAGCAAUAAAUUAUUAUAAAGAUUUUACUUUUGGUAUUAUUAAUAACAAAUCUUUGACAUUAUCCUUCAAUCCAUAUCAAUAUUAAUUGAUAAAGGUUUUUUUAUUGCAAUCUACAUUGCAAGCAAGAUUUUGGAAUUCAGUAGCAUAUAUAGUGGCUAAUCGUGAUUCUUAUCGUAGAAAUAAGAGCUUAAUUUCUACUAUUAUUUCUAGAUGAUUUUUUCUAAAUGUGGUUGUAAAGACUUGUAGGAAUGAAUUCAAAUCAUGAAAGAGUUGCAAAUUCUUUUUCAUUAAAGGUGCAAACCAAGAAAGAGUACUUCCUAAUAAAAGUGCAUGUACAAAUUUGACUUGAGUAAAUCCAUUGUGAUAUUGGAAGGGAUGCAACUUUAGUUAGACCUUGACUUAUUAUAGAAAUCCUCAAAAUUUUCAUCUUGUUCCAUCAAAAUUCUCAAGCAUACUAAUCCUUGUCCUUGUCAUACUUAUAAAAACAAAACUUUUUAGAUUUGAUUAUAAGGUCAAUCUACUUGCUUCCUUCAAUUGUACAACUUCUUGCUGGAGACUUUGAACUUCUUUUACAGAUGUAGAAAUAGUAUCUCCAUGAUUCACAUUAGAAACACGUGAGAUUUCCAAAUGAAAAUUUUCACAAAGAGAAGUAAUCCACUCUCUUUAAGAAAAAGAUUAGUGUUAGAAAACAAGAUUGUUUGUUUAAAGGUAGAUAGUCCACAAUCUUCAAAACACAACAAUAGAAGUGGGGUAAACCACUCACAUAUCUUUCACAAUCACAAGUUAAAACUUUUCCUUUAACAUAUAAUCAGGCUGAUUUAUCCUAUAAAUUUGUAUCUGUGAUGUGGGUAAAGAACAAAACCCCAUUAUUUAUCUCAAAUAUGAUGAACUGGGCCAGGUCUUGGCAACUGCAGCUUCUGAUCCAGUACAGAAAACAACUUGAGUUCAACCCAAAUUGUGUAGCAAUUAUAGAUGCUACAAGGAGCUCUCUCUCUCUCUCUCUUCAAUCACCGUUCCUUCUGUAACAGCUUGUUAAAAGUUGAACUCAAUUGGCAAGCCAACAGUGCUUUCUUGCCCUGUAAUAUUUAAUAAUAAACUACACCAGAGCCUAUCUACUUAGAAAACCAUGUUCGAAGCAUUUGGGUCAGAUCUAUAGUCUAAAAACGAUCUAUGUUUCAUGCCGAAAUGAAGUCAUUCUUGCUCAAGCUUCAUGCCGAUCCAUGUUAACAUGACUUGUUAGGUAAUACAACAUUGAGAUACAUUCACAAGUAGAUGUUCUCUGUGUAGCAAAGCUGGAAAAAAAGUGAGAAAGAAGAAGCUGUGUGAGCCUUCGUCGAGAGUUCUUCUCAGCAACAUUUAGAACUUGAUCACAUGCACAUCUUACCAAGUAUAGUGAAAUGGAAAGGAGGUCUCACCUUUCGAAGAAGUUCGGUACUCGACUUUAACUCCGAUGCCCUCUAAAGCUUGAACCUCGGAUGGGUAUCUUUUCUCAAUGCCUUACCAAUGCGGGAUUGAGUACAACUCAAUCACAGCAUUAGAAUCCUUCAAAUCCCAGUCCGACUUACAACCUGAUCGAGUCAACCACAAACUUAGCUGUUCAUCUGUUUACUUGAGUUUGAUGAACUCAGAACGUGAAGAACAACGAUACGAAACUUCACUGUGGUGUAUGGUGUUAGAAUAUUGAACUUUGCGGAUUCCCAACAUGCGUAUGUAUAAUAAAAAAUGGUGUAAUUUCUUAACACUAUGACUCUUUCAGAAAACAUCGGUUUUACUUCAUCCUGAACUUUGAUUUUAUGUGAUUCCGCUGUACUAAAGUUCUGUGAAUCAACAUUGAAUAUAAAUCUUCAAUCUAGAAACCAAGCAACGAGGUACAUGAGAAACAAACCAAAUGCGAUGGUAAAAUUCAAACUAAUGCAAUUUCUUCUCUGUACUCCAUCGCAGAUAAAUCACUACAAUCCAUUUCUCAUGCAAAUGCAUUCAUCUCUUUCUUUCGGAGUGGUUGCAUUACCAGAUCGUGGUCCAUAUAUCAAACCUUCGUUUGACGAUAACGAGCUCGGAGGAAUAAAUGCAUGUUAGUUUCCCAAUCUUACCAAGAACAAACACCGUUUCACAUACAAACCUUCAGUUCAGAGCCCGAAUAAAAUGAAUCCAUUUCGGAGCUAACGUAGCAAAACCCAAAGCCUCUAGAUUCAACAAGUUUGAAUGCACAAUGUAAAAAACUGAAACUAUGCUGUGACCUCAUUUCAUUAACUUCUUUCUUUCUCAGGAUUCAAAGCCUCACAAAAAUAUUUUACAAAGAUUAUCUCUGCUUUCGAUAUGAUUUUGUUGAUCAUAGUAUCAUUUUUUAAUCUGCUUCUGAUAAAGAAAUUGUAAAAUAUUGAAGUAUUUAACCUAAGAAACAAAUAAAUGGGAAAUUUGUAGGAGACUAUGAUCAUAUACAAGAUGCAUGUUGUUUAAUGAUUUUAACAGGUAGUUUAUUUGUGUUUACAAUUGGCUUUAAAAUUGUGUUUUGGAUAAUGUAUAAAAACACCAAUAUACACUAAAUUUGUGUGCAGUGAUCAAAUUUUAGAUUUGAAAGUGAUUGCCGGUUUUGAGAAUUCAUUUUCAUCCUUAAACACAAUGGAACAGUAAUAUAAUUAGAAUUUAUAAGUGUGUGUGUAUAUAUAUAUAUACAUACAUACAUACAUACAUACAUACAUACAUAUACAUUUAUAUAUAAAUAUGAGAAUUAUUAGGGCAAUAGAAUCCAAUCGAUUUUUGUAGAUUUUUAUUUAUAAAGUGUAUAAUGGAUUCAAACAUGUCAUUAAGUUUCUUGUAGAGUCUUUUUUUGCACUAAUCUAUAAUAAAAUUCUCAAAUUAUUAUACUCAAUUUUAUUUUAUAUGAUAUUAUUGGUGAGGCUUUGAAUCCUGAGAAUUUUACAAUUUCUUUAUCAAAAGCAGAUUAAAAAAUGAUACUAUGAUCAACAAAAUCAUAUCAAAAGCAGAGAUAAUCUUUGUAAAUGCCAGCAUCAAUGGUAGAAGUUGAAUUGGUGUUAAUAAGUUUAUGGUACCAACACCAAAUUGCAAUGCAUUUUGCAACUAGAAAUCUAUGCUUUAUUUGUAACAUCAAAUAGCCUAUGGUCCUUGUAAUUCUAUGUUUCUUAAUUAUGGAUAUGUGAUCUUAUUUCUAUUUCUUUAUAUUUUUAUAUAUAAAAAUUACAUUUUAUAAUUUUUAUACUUUAUAUAUUUGCCAAAAAAAAUAUUAAGAUACACUCUAUAUCACAAAAAUAAUAAUAAUAAAUAAUAAAGUUAAAGUUACUAAUCCACAAUAAUAAGAAAUUAUUUAAGUAAUACUUCUAGUUUAGAAGUAGUAAUAUAGAUAAAGAAACUUAUAAAAAAAAAUUAUUUUAUUUCCUUCAAAAUAUUUAUGAUAUAGGAUGAGGCUUCUAUUAUUUAAGAACUAGAGUAUAAAAAUGUGAAGAAAAGAGAACUAAAACUGCUUAAAAUGAAUUUAUCUCCCAAGUUUUUAUAUACCGUAAGUCCACAAUCUAAUGACAAGCUUUUUUGUAUGAAUACACUAACAAUUAGUCCAACUAUUGACAAAUAGGUAUUUGACUUAUUAGACCUGAUGAUUGCUUUAUUGGCAAUGAUAACCAUGUUGGCUAUAAUAACUACAAUGAUUAUAAUGGCUAUUUAAUUAUGUAUUGAUUAAUGUUCAUAAUAUACAAUUGACUAUCAAUCAUUUAUAUAAUAUCUAAUAAAAAUUAGCUAUAUAUGUAAAUAUUCUUUUAAUAUUUUUAUUUAAUGAUAGAUUGGACUAGUUCAAUUAGGCGAUUCCUAUCACAUUCUUGAAUUUGCAAUGCUUUUCAUAAUUUCAACCUUUGAUCAAAACAUUUGCUACAAGAAUAUUGUGUAAAAAAACUAAAUUGAUGUUGCUAUCUUCAAUUGUUUUACAAACAAAGUAAUGUUGAAUCUCAACAUGCUUUGUAUAAGCAUAGAAUAUAAUAUAUAUAUAUAUAUAUAUAUAUAUAUAUAUUACUAAAAAUAGAUAUAAAACUAUCUUAUGAAAUUUCAAUGUUCUCAAAUGAUUUAUAAACCUAGACUACUUCUAUUGUUGCAUGUGUACCUUCCAUAUACUCUUCUUCAGCAAUAGCUAAUGCAAUUAUUGGGUGCUUCUUACUAUCUCAAUUGAUUACACUAUGAGACAACAAAAAUAUAUAGCCAAUAGUCAAUUAUUGAGUAUCAAUAUUUUUUACAUAAUCUAUAUUGUAAUAUCCAAUUACUUAUAAAUUUAAAAAACUUUCUCCAUAUUAUAGCACAUGAUCUAAUGUACCUAUGAAAUAUCAUAAAAUAAAUUUGACUACUAUUUAAUAUUGUAGGCUAGGAUUUUUCAUGUAUUAGCUAACAACUUCAACUACAUAUGUAAUAUCAGUUUGAGUACCUAUCAAUGUAUAUACUAAACUAUUUAUUGCAUUUGAUAAGAAACAUCUUCCAUUGUUUCAACCUCCUUAAGAAUGUAAAGACUUAUUUUUCUUGAUAGUUAGCUAUUAGAAUCCAAAGGUGUAGAUAAAGAUUUAUAACCUUCUAUGUCCAACCUUUUAAAUAUGUUUUCCAAGUACUUAUAUUAAUUCAAGUCAAUUAUAAGAUUUUUUCAAUUUUAUAUUAUUUGCAUGCCUAAGGUAUAAUAGACUUCUUCAAAACCCUUCAUCCUAAACUUUCAAGCUAAGUUUUUCUCUAUUUUCAAGAGAAGUUUCUUGUUAUUAGACACAAACAUCAAGUUAUCUUCAUAAAGUACAAUGAUGAUGAAGAAUCUAUUAAUUGUCUAUAAUGCAUAAAUUUUAAGAUUGGCAUGGUUUUUUUUAAAACUUUGUAAUAUAAGAUAGUUAUUUACCUUUCAAUACCAUGUCUUAAAAGAUGGCUUGAGUCCAUAGAAAAUUUUAGAAAAUUUAUAUACUAAUUUUUCUUUACCCUCUAAUAUAUAGCCUUAUGUUUGGUCCAAAUAUGUAUCUCUUUUUUAAAUUCUCUAUUCAAGAAUGAUAUCUUCACAUCUAUUUAAUGAACUUUCAAAUCUUCAAGUGUAGCUAGUCCAAGAAAUAUGCAAAUUGAGGUCAUUUUUACCAACAAAAUAAAAGUUUCAUUAUAAGCAAUAUCAUCUUUUUUACACAUAACCUUUUGCAAUUAAUCUUAUCUUAUAGUUUUCUAUUAAACCAUUUAUAUUAUUUUUAAUUUUAAAAAUCUAUUAGCAAUAAAUUUAUUUUUUUAUAUUAGGAAUGGUAUCAAAGUCCAAGUCUUGUUGUUAAUAAGUCUCUAGUACUCUAAAUCUAAUACUUCUUUUUACUUCCAAAUAUCAUCACUUUCCAUAGCUUCAAUAAAACUAAUUGGUUUGUCAAUGCUCAUAUAAAAAGUAUGUAUCAUAUAUACUAAAGAUAUAAAAGACUUGAAAAGAAUCCAAGUCAAUAUUAAUUCAUCAAUCAUUUGUUGUUUUGCUAAUAAAUAUGUUCAUACACGUGUCAUCAUUGGUAAAAGAAGAACUCAAGGUGGGAUAUUAGCUCGAUUUAAAGUUUCAUAUUUUUGUCUAAGCACUCAAGCUUGUAUUAGAUUUUUUUUAAAUAAAGAUGAAGAUUCAACAAGUGGAUUUUGUUGACCAAUGUUAAUAUCUACGUUUCUUACUACAUUGUCACUAUUACUCUUUGAAUCAAAUGAAGAAUUUAUAGAAUUAUUUUUUUAUCAUUAUUUUUUUAGAUUCAUUAAUAGAAAUAUCUAAAAAAAAUUUAUUUUUUUUAGAUUCUUUAUAUAUAAAAAAUUUAAUAUUACGACUCUUAAAAAUAUAAUCCUUAUUAAUAUUGUACAGAUAAUAUUACUUGAUAUCUAUAAUAUAGUCCAUUUUUUUUUUCUUUUGGAAUUAAUUUUUGUGCAUUUUUCAUAUAGAAAAUGUACAUAGACAUCACAUCCAAAAGUAAAAACUAUUGUAUCAAAAUUUUCAUACUUGACUUAAUUUUUUUAGUUUUUUCUUUUUUGCCAUGAGUAUAGCUAGAACUUAAUUAAUGACAUAUGUUGUAAUAUUGAUGGCUUUUGCCUACCAUGCAUUUCAAAGUUGUUUAUGAUGUAACAUAUACCUUACACUCUUAAAAAAUAUUUGAUUUUUAUAUUUUAUAACUCUAUUUUAUUGAGGCAUAUUAGGCAUCAAAAAUUAUCUUUUAAUAUAAUUUUUUUGAUAAAACAACUUAAAAGCCUUUGAUGUAUAUCUCUCACUAUUAUUACUACAUAAUUUUUGAAUCUCUAAGCUUAUUUGUUUUCUACUAAAAAAUUUUAAAGUUAUCUAAGACUUUAGACAUUUGUUUCAUGAAAUGUAUAAAAUUCUUUUUUAAAAAAUCAUCAAUAAAUGUGACAAAGUAUAUUGCAUUUAUAUGGGAUGUUGUUCUCAUAAGACCAUUUAUAUCAAAAUAUAUCAAUUCUAAGAAUUUGGAUGCUUGAAUAUUACCUUUUGUUGGAAAAGCAUUACAAUGUUGUUUUCUAUCAAUACAUAAUUUGUAAAAUCCUAACUUUGAAUUCUUGCCUAUGUUUAGAUGAGUGUCCAUAUCACAUACUUGUAGUUUUUUUAAGCCUAAAAUACCAAGAUGACCAUAUUGUUGAUACUAAAGAGUAAUCUUUUUAAAAGUUUUUUUUUGUGUUUAUAAUAAAAAAAAGUUUUUCUAUCUUCAUCUAAAGAUCUCAAUAGCAUAUACAAGCUAUUGUGUCUAAGAUCCCUAAUGGUUCUGUUGUCUUAUUUCAAAAAACAUGAACCAACCUUGAAAUUUACUUCAUAAUCUUUAUUUGUCAUUUUUCUAAUAGAAAAAAAAAUCUUGACCAAUCUUUCAAUAUGCAAAGUAUCAUGUACAUCCUUUUAAACACUAUUUAGAAAUUUGAAAGAAAUCUUUUUUUGUGAUGGUAAGUCUAGUAUCAUUAUCCAAAUAGAUUUUAGAGUCUUUUGAUAGGUUUUUGUAACUUAAAAAUCAACUUUGAUAUUAUGUCAUAUGUUGAGAAGCACCAAAAUCUAUGUACUGUUCUUUCUUGCUUAUAGUGACAAAUAAUACAACUACAAAGAUUGAUUCAUCUUCUUUUGAUCUUUAUUAUCUAUUAUAUUAUCUUACUCUUUUUGAAAAGUCUUUUUUAACUUUCUUAAGUUCUUAUCAUUUUUUUUGGUCUAAUAUACUUUCUUAUAGUAAUCUUUUUUGCUACAAUAUCUAUGUUUGGUAUCUUUCUUGUAAUCAUGUAAAGAUCCUACAUGAGUAUAAAUAUGAAAAUGUGACUUGGAUUUUUUUUCCAAAACUAACACUGCUUUAAAGGUUGAUUCUACAUUCUUAUUGUAAGACCUUUGUUGCAAUAAUUGAGUUGUGACUAUAGAUAAUAUCAACUCAAUAGGAGGUUGUGUCUCUAAUAAUACUACCAAAGUACAAUAUGACUUUGGAAGACUUUCUAAUAAUGUUGUGAUAAAAUAUAGGUCCAAAUUUUUUUUUUCAAUUGAAAAAAGUUGAUCAAUUAUUUCUUGUAAUUUGCUUCUGUGUAUAAAAAUAUUAUCACCUUUAUUCACUUACGUAGUUUAGAACCUAUGAAUUAAAAUUAAUGAAGAUCAAGUAUUUUUAAUGUUGUAUGUUUCUUUUGAACUCUUCUAUGCAGCCUUUGCACUUGCUACUUUGUUUAUUGUCAUGAACUUUAGAAUGGGAAGAUGUUAACAAAUCAUAGAAAAAGCUUGCCCAUCUGCAUCUUUCUAUUUUUUUUACUCUCUUAAAUCUAUAGGAAAUUUAAUAGGUUUCUUAUAUUUUCCAUUUACAACAUCCUACAAUCUCUUGUCGAUAAGAAUAAAUUUAACUAUCUUAUUCUAAAGAUGCUAGUUGUUUCCAAUAAAUUUUUCUAUAAUAAAAUAUUAUUUUGCCAUAAUAUAAGGAGUAUGCUAAAGAUUUAAAAAAUAAUAGGAUUUAGAAAAUAAAAUAAGGAGGAGUUAGAAAUAAGAUCAAGGUAAGGCUUAAUAUCCUCUUAUAUAACUUUUUGCUUGAAUAUUUAUAGAAUUUUUUAUUUUUUCUUCAAAAAACCAAAAUUAGGUUUAAAUAAGUGUAUUAUAUUAUGACUAGGUCUUUCAAAUAAUUUCAAGUCUAAAUUCACAAAAUUAAUAAAGAUUAUGCAAUUCUAAUAAGAAGAUGUCAAAUCUAAAUCAAAACAUUUAACUAGCCAAAAUUUCUUAAGUUCCUAGCCUUCUAUGUAUCCUUGGUUGCAAUCAAGUUUUUACAUAAAAUUCCAGUGGCAAGUUUCCAUAGCGAGUUCUAACUACCAUCGUCCAAUCCAACAGUUUCUUUCCAAUAGCUCUAUAACUCUAUAUACAUUGUAGAUAAGCUAUGAGUAAAAAUUGUAAGCAAAGCAUGGAUUGUAUUCAAAAAUUCUUAAAGCUCUAAGAUCUUCUUGUUGCUUCUCUUGAUUUCUAAGAUUGAUACUAAUAAGAGCUACCAAAAAAAAAGAAACAACUUGAAUUUGGCCUACAAAAGGUUCAACUCCUCAAAAAGCUAAAUUCACAAAUUACAAAGCUUCCAAAACCCUAAACCUUGGUCACAAAAGAUCAAGUCUUGCAAAACAACCUCAUGCAAUCUACUCAAUUUGUAAAGAGUAAAUGAGAAGCGCUAAGCUCUAAUAUCAUGUAAUAUAUGGAUGAGACUUCUAUUAUUUAAAAAUAGAAGUACAUAUGUAUGAAGAAAAAAGAACUAAAAUCACUUAAAAUAAAUCUUUUCUUCAACUCUUAUAUAACAUAAGUCCAUGGUUUUAGACCAUAAAUUUUUAGUGCAAAUGUAUUAACAAUUAAUCUAACUAUUAACAUAUUGAUACUUGUCUUAUUAGACAAUAUGAUGGCUUAAUAGGCUACAAUAACUAUAAUAAUUAAGAUGGCUAUUCAACUAUGUGUCAGCUAAUAUUCAUAAUAUAUGGCUAGUUAUCAACUAUCUUCAUAAUGUAUAAUAGGAAUUAAUCAUAUAUGUAAAUACUCUUUUUAAAUACUCUUUUAACAACAUUAGUCAAAAAAAUAUUAUUGUAUAAAAAUAAUAUAACUAUUUAUCUAAAUAAUACAUAUAUAUAUAUUUAUAUAUAUAUAUAUAUAUAUUAAUAUAACUAAUAAAUACAUAUAUUAAUUAAGAUGUGAUAAAUCUUAUCUUGAGUAUUUUUUAUGUAAAUGUAAUAUAUUAUUUUUUUUUUAUAAUUUAAUAGAUUGAUUUCUUUUGACAUAGUCAACCAAUAUAUUGUCACGGCCAUAAUCAUGUAAGCUAAUAAUUACAUAUAGAAAUAGGUAGAAGUAAGUAAAAGUAGAUAAAAGUAAGUUAAUUCUAUAAUAUUUAAUAUGGAAGCUUCUUAGAAACUUCCUAGACGCUGCUUUGACUUCAUAGGUGUCUUUAAUUGACUUUUUGGAUUAGAAACGUGGUCAACAAGUUGACCAUGUGCCACACAUGUUGUUAGCUUGAAGAUCAAGCUAACUAUGUGGUCCACACGUAGAAAAACUUGCCUUGUAAGUCAAGGCAUGUGUCCUACAAAGUCAACACAUAUUGGAGGUCCUAUAGAACGUCGCCACGUAGCUCCUAGUUAGAUAGUAUAUAUAGAGACAAGAGUGAAGGCUUCUCCACUCUUGUCAACUUUUUUUUUGCUCCUAGUCCAGGUUCAAGAGUCUUUAGUUUCUUGUCUUGUGGUAAUAGUCAUUCCAGUUUCCUUUUAAUAUACAUACUUGUUUAUAUUUUGACUUAUUAUAUCGAGAUAGCCUUUUAGUGUAUAUUUUCCUUCAUCGAGUCUUUGUCCUUGACAGAUUGACAAGAGUACACUUACAAUAUCAGAGCUUUGUUUUUCUUCAGUAAGAAUGGAUUACCCCUUUGUCUUCACAAGACAUAAGCGUAUUAGAAGUUUGCAGAUUACCCACUUCUAAACUGAUAUUGUUCUUAGUAUCUUCUUUGUUAUCAAGUCUUUCUUUUCUUUUGUCUUGAGCAAUAUUUAACAAAUUUUUCUUCUUAGUGUCAUUAUAGCAGAGCUUGUUGAAAUGAAGAGUGCAAUGGCACAAAUGCAAGAGCAAAUGAGGGAAUUAAUGCUUGCGAUGCAUCAACUCAAUUCACCAACACAGGAAAGAACAAGAAUAGCAGAAAGUGGGGAUAUAGAGAUGAUCGGAGCUGCUUCAAUAUCUACAACAAAUCACGUUCCUUCCCCAAUUGUACAACACCCUGUAAGCACUAGAGAACCAAGAAUUGCCUUACCCGAGAAAUUUGAUGGUACGAGAUCAAAGUUUCGAGGGUUCAUCAAUCAAGUACAAUUGGCAAUUGAACUUCAACCGCAAAGCUAUCCAACUCCAGGAUCACAAGUCAGAUUUAUUGGCACUCUACUUUCUGGUUCUGCAUUAUCGUGGUUUUCGUCUUUUCUUGAACAACAAAAUCUAAUAUUGGAUAAUUUGGAAGCUUUUUUGGCAGAGUUGAUCUAUGUAUGGUGAACACGAUGCAACUCGUGUUGCAACAAAUAAGAUCCAAAUUCUGCGACAAGGAAAUCGCUCAGUAACAGUGUAUGCUUCACAAUUUUGACAACUUGCAAUUGACAUCAAGUGGGAUGAUGCUGCACUCAUCAGUCAAUUUCUUUAUGGAUUGCAAUACGAAGUAAAGAAAUUGAUGCUCAACUUACCUGAUCCUCAAACUUUGAGUCAAGCAAUCGAUUUUGCGGUAAAAUGUGAUAAUCGACUUCUUGAAUUUCGAUCCGAAAAUCAUUCACGGUGUUGUAUUACGUGCUUUCCUGCUCGAGAACGCGCCGGGCAUCUGGCUGUAGAAGGUAGUAUGGAGAUCCGCCGAUAGUCAAGCAGUCUAUCAGUUUUUACUGCUGGAAUAUAAUCGACUGCAAGAAUACACCGUAAAUCUUUACUGAUGCCCUUCAACUGCUUGUCGAAGUCCUUUUUUUUUGCCCCAGUCGGUAGGUCUCUAGACGUUACACAGAACCCCGAACAACCCAAACUGUUAAUCUUCAAUACCCCUUUGUACUUACGAUCUUGUAUCCACUGACUGUCUUGUUAGAUUAACCCAAUAAAUUUCAUUCACUCCGCAUACUCAAUCCUAUAAACACCCCUUUAAUCCUUCAAUCACAGACGUAACUCGAUUUUACAAAACAGUCAAGAGUAUUCAAACCCACUUCAUUUAAAAAUCAUGAUUCACCAUUACAACACUGACUUCAGCAGCGAUUGCCUCAGUCGUCCCAAAACUCUAUGAAGAAGAAAAAUCCAAAUUCUAUGUCUUUCCUUCCCCGACCCGAAGCAUGAAGCUCCUCUCUCUAAUUCCCUUGAUCUUCAAAAACCUCCAAUAAAAAACCGAACUGGUAACCUUGCAAAAGCUUGAAAACUCGCUCCUCCCCCGAUUCCCCCCCUAACCUUAUCCUCUGAAUUUCUUCAAUCUUCCGUCUUAGAUCCGGAAUUGGCUCCCACCUCAAGCUUGGAUUCGAAAUUGGCUCUCGCCGUCAAGCUUUCUCCUCCGUUUUUACCUUUAAGAAAUCUAUUUACCGAAAACAACGUUCCCUGAAACGGCACAAAGAACAGGACACCCUGAAAAAUAAUCGAACCUCGUAAUCGGGACCACAUUGAGUCGCCCGACCAAUUCAGGUCCUAUAUUGGGAAAGAUGCCCGUAGUAACCUGGAUGUUUCCGUAAUUGGGUCAAAUUGGUCCUCGCGUCAGAUUGGCUAAGACCCGUAGUAAGACCUGGAUUUCCCAUAAUUAGACUGCAUUGGAUUGACCGGCCAAUUCAAGUCUCAUAUUGGAUAAGAGGACCCGGAUUGGAUUCUUGAAAUUGGAUCCAAUUGGCUCUUCGAACUCGUCGUGUGAAUUGGUCCUUCUCUUCCUGCUGACUCCCGUUAUUGGAAUCGAACGGAGCAUUUCAGUAUGCCCCGGCUGACUGUAACGGAGUGACUGAACCUGACCACUCAGUAUUUGUACUGGAGUUGAUCGAUGCUCCCAAUAUUCGAGGUAACUGAAUAUUAAUAAAAUUCCCCUUUCUUUUUAUUUUCACUGUAUACUCAUGUUACAACACGACAUCCACCCUCUCUGAACCUGUGCAUCCUCCGGUAUGCACCAAUUUACCCAAUUGCGGUUUGAUUCAGAAUAUAUCUCCUACGUCUUUGUCCAGUUUGUCUUCGUCACCUUCAUUAUCCAUAUCACUUUCAUCUUCUUGCUGCGGAAUCUUUGUACCUUCAUUAAGGUCUUCCAUAUUCAUCUCUGCGUAUCUUCGUUUAAAUAUUUUUACUCGCUUCCCUGCAAUUGGUAUUUUCAAUUUUGUACCAUCUAACUCCCGUAAUGAGUAAGUCGCAUUAUCAUGAACAGUUGUUAUAACAUAUGGUCCAAACCAACGUUUUGAAAAUUUCCGCAAAGUACUAUGUUGAUUAUCCAGACUAUUGUCAUAAACAAGUACCCAGUCACCUUCCUCGAUUGCUUUUGGUCUCAAUCGAUGUUGCUUAUCGAAUCGCGCUUUGUUUUGUAACCUUGCUCUUUUUAACCUUUCCAAUGCUAUCUGGACAUCUUCCGUUCUUUGCUCCAAUUGUCGAAUCCUAAUAGCCAGAAGUUCUUCUCUUGUCAAUCCAUCUUCCCAUGGUAGCAUACUCCAAGUAAGUACCUUUUCUUCAAUCGGCAUAAUUGGUUUUUGACCUGUCAUAAGUUCUACUGGCAUAUAUCCUAUCACUGAAUUAUGUGUUGUUCGAUCAGCCCAUAAUGCAAAUGACAAAAGCCGUGGCCACUCUUUAACCUUCCCAUUACAAGCUUUAACCAAUGCUUUCACAAUCGGCGGGUGACCGCGUUCGCUUUUCGCAUUCCCUUCCGGAUUAUAAGCAGUAGUCAGUGAUAGUUUAACUCCACAUUUUUCAAAGAACUUACGAGCUUCUUGUGCAUUUAAUUCUCCACGAUCUGCAAUGAUUUUUCCUACGCACCCGUAACGGCAAAUGACAUCUUCAAGCAAAAACCUACAAAUCCCCUCUGUAGAUUUUGUCCUCAAUGCUCUUCCUUCUACUAGAUUUGAUAAAUCUUUACGAGCUAAAACCAAAUAUCUCAUCUGCCAUAACCCAACCGGCAUAAUAACCAAAUCAACAACCCAUUUAAAAUGAAUAGCCAGAGGAUACGUAGGAUGAAGACCAUCUCGAUGUCGGAUAUUAGAAUACGAUUGACAGAUUUCACAUGACUCUACAAAUGAGAGCACAUCUCGAUACAUAUUUUUCCACCAAUAUCGUUCCUUGAGUUUAGCAAAAGUAGCCCAGAUUCCUCUAUGCCCUGCCCAUAAACUAUCAUGAAACUCCUUUAAUAAUUUUAGUUUUUCUUCCCUUUUGCCUAUCACUCGUUGUGGCAUCUCAAUUCCUUUCUUCGGUCUCUUCCAUAAGAAUCCAUCUCGAAGUAAAAAUCCAUAUGCUUUUUUUCUUAUUUGUUUGAAUUUUUCUGUAGACCAAUUCCCCUGCUUAGACAAGGUAUUCAAAUAAUGACCAAUAUCCAAUAAUUCUCCUUCAUAAGAUUCUUCAAGAAAUAGCUUGUCUUCUCUGUUGAGAUUUGAUAUUGAAUAGAAUUUCAAUCCGACAUCAUCAAUGUCUUCAACCAUUUCGUCCUCCCUCUCGUAUCUUGCUCGAGAUAGCAUGUCUGCUACUAAAUUGUCCUUUCCAGUGAUAUGCUUAAAUUCUGGAUUUAGUGACUUAAUAUAAGCAAUCCAUCUCAACAUUGCAAUAUCUGGCGUUGAACAGUUAAUAAUCAUUCCAAGCAAUGGCAAGCAAUCUGUUUCAAUUACUACUACUGCCCCAAUCAAAUAGUCCUUUUCAGCUUUCAUAGCCGAAACGACUCCCCAAAGUUCUCUAUUGACUUGCGAAUAUGCACGCUGACGAAUACUUAAAACUUUAGCCCCAAAUCGAACUGCAAAUCUACUCCCAUUCGAAUCAUCUUGAUCCACCGCCCAUCCAACGGCAAUUGGACUAGCGUCUACAGUAAGAAUCACUAGUCUAUUGCACUUAUAAUCAACCUUCCUCAAUAUUGGAGGUGACAUCAAUAAUUUCUUCAAUCUUUGCAUUGCCUGAAUAUGCCUUUCUUUCCAUUCAAAUCGGUAAUCUUUGCGUAACAGUUCAUAUAAUGGAUCCGCUAUGUGAGCAAAAUGAGGGAUCCAGAUUCGAUAAAAUACACAUGCAUCCAAAAACCUGCGAACCUCUGUUAAAGAACCACAAUCCUCUUUCAUCCUUCCAAUUGCAUCAACUUUAGUCGGAUCUGGUUUUCUUUCGUAAGAUCCGCAUAAAUGUCCAACAAUUACAACCUCUCGCACUCCAAAUACGGACUUCAUACCCGAUAAUGUAAGAUGAACUUCUCCAAGCCGAGUUAAAAUCUUUUCACAAUCUUGUAUAUGAUCAACAACAUAUCUGCGACACUCCCUCGUAUCUAAAGUUUCAUCCUUGUCUCCUUCUUUGCACCUUUUUAUAGGAACAUCAUUCAGAAAAGGCAUAGUCUUUUCCGGAAUAAAAUCUCUCAAUACCUUAUUCAUCCCAUUCAUCAUAUGCGCAACCGAGUUAGUCGCGCCUUGAGGAAGAGUGCACAUUCUAACCAAUCCAAGCGGUGUCCUCAUCGUUGUCAUAUCUCUACUUCCUUCGGCAAGUUGAAAUUGAUCAUAACCUGAAUACAAAUCACCCAUUGAAUAGAUCGCCCUUCCAGCAAACGCCUCAGCAAAUUCAUCCACAAUAGGUCCAAUUCCUGCAUUCAUGAUAGUUACAGCAUUCACCGGCUGCAUAUCUUGAAUAAACCGUAGUGACCCAUUCUUCAUAGGUACCGUAAACCAUCGACUAGAAAACGGUGCAAAUGAAGGUUCUAAUAUUUUCAUCUUUAUCUUUUCUUUUAAUAGUUCGACCAAUUUAGGUAAAUGUGCCCUCGGUACUGGAAUCGGUCUUAGAUUCUAAGGUACAUGCGGUACAGUGAAGAUAACCAUAGGUGUUAUAAUAUUUGGAUCCACACACCCAAUUUCAUGAGAUUCGAAGGCAAACAAUCUACCUUGUUUAGCCAACAUCUUUUUGAAGCAAGUAAUUUCCUCCGGCAAUAAAGAACCAUCAGAACCAAUCUUCAAUUCUUCAAAAGUCUCUUCAGUAAACUGAUGUCCAAUACUCAUUGGAUCUCUUAAACUUGCUUCUUUUGAUGCUUCUCCCAUUUGUUCUUUAGAAUCCUCUGGUAAUGGUCCAGCAACAGGCUUUACCUUCUUAUUUGCCGUUUUAUAUCUCGUCUCUACUGUGACUUCUGGUGCUUGAAAAGAUUCAAGCAUGGUAUAAACCUCUCUCGAAUGAAUCUCAACAAUCUUAUCAUUAUCCCCUAACCCAAUAGAUGUAAUCAAUUCCAAUGAAUCUUCCAGUCCAUUUUCUUCAUAAACACCCAAAAUCCUCUCAUCAUCUUGCAAUGUACCUAUCUUGCGUAACUGUCCUUCAAUAUCAUAUAAUCUUUUUCUUUCUUUUCUUUUAAAAUCAUCAACUUUCUUAUACAUAAUAUUUCCAUUCUCUAAUAUACCAAUAAAACUCGCAUCAAAGGCACCUUCAUCUCGCGAGAGUACCUCCUCUUUUGUACCUCCAUAAUCUCGCUUUACAGUGGCACCUCUCCAAAAUCCUUAAAUCCUUCAACAAUCUUUGGCAAUGGUUUCUCCCUCAACCUAUCUCGAUUCCGUUCAUGGUUAGGAGGUACUGUUAGAAAUUGUACAGCUUUCCUCCCAUCUUCGCUCCGUAUCCUUGCAUAAGCAGAACCAUCGUCAAGUACCUUUGUUUCCAUCCGUGUUGCCGUGAUAUAAGGUUGUCUUAAAAUCAACGGAUAAGACGUUGUAUCUUGAACGAAGAAAUAUUGCUCCGUCGCAACAUCCCCAAUCCGAAUUUUGACAUCUGGACAAGCUCCAUAUAAUUCGCCUCGUGUGUUAUUAGCUGCUCGUAUUGCCCAUCCAUGUUCCAUAUCAAUUGGCCAUUUUUGCUUCUUAUAAAGAUCUUUAGACAUGAGAUUUAUUUCAGAACCAUGGUCCACCAAAGCAACUAUUGGUUCUUCUAUAUCUCCUACCUUCACCAAUACCUCAGUAGUUGCCCUUGCCCAAUGCUUUCGAGUAUAAUGGCUCAAAGUUUCCAUUUCCUUGUCACUAGAAUCUUCGAAAUGUACUCGCUGAUUAUACCCAUUCUUUUCAUUUGUUAGUUGCUUGUAACCAAUAUUAACCUCUUCUUCAUCUCUACAUAUUCUUGCAUCAAUAGCAUGACUCAUUCCAGUUUCGCUCAUUAAUUGCCUCUUUUGCUUAAUGCUGUCAAUGAUAACAUCAUAAAACUCCUUCUUUGCAAUUCCCAAGACUUCUUUCAAUGUGAAUUCCACCUUAGCAUUUAAUAUACGUUCUUCCAGCACUCCUUUCAAAUUUGUUGCCGCUUCAAUGUCAGAAAGUAGCUUAUAAGCAAUUGAUUUGCCCUUAUCUUUUGUCUCCGUUGUUUUUUCUCCCAAUGAUGCUGAGGUAUCCUUUACAGGCAAUUCUUGUGAAGCUGCCUCCCGAGCCUUGUCUCCUCGAGUUUGCCUUUUAAAAGAAUUUCCUUCUCUACUAUCAUCAAAAUUUCCUCGUCUUUUUUCUUCCAUCAAAGCUUCAUGUUGGCUCUUAGCAAUAUAUGCAUGAACUGAAAGAGACUCAACAGGAUCCUCCCAACCUGUUCUUCCUCGUAUUGUAGCUGCAGUUCUCAAUAACGCUUCUCGAGGUAAUUUCCCUUCUUGCAUUGUAGAAACGGCAGAAGCCCAAAACUCACUAGUUUCCGUACUUCCACCAAUUUCAUCAUCUACUCUAGCACCAUAACUUGCACUUUCUCGUACUACUGUUUCAUGCUCUUUUAAGUAAUCUUGAACCAAUGCUCUCAUUCCUCCCUUGCCAAAAUUGGUUUGAAGAAGAUCCUCCCUAUCUUUCAAUGCUAUCUUUUCAUCUUUCCAGCAAAUAAUUCCCUGCCGUAUCAUAUUUUUAAAUUCAUUGCAAUCUUUUCUAGUGUGUGAAGCAUCAUCACACCAAAUGCAUCUUUGUACAUAUCUUUGUUUUGAAACAUUCUUCGAAUUGUUUAUAGAAGUAUUCUCUUCAAGUCUUGCCAAUUUGAUUUGAAGAUCUCGCAUUCCUCGUAUAAUUUCUUCCAUACCCAUAUCUGCUUUCUUUGACAAGGAUGUCGAAGGUUCAACUGUAGGCAUUGUCGGUGGUGUAGUACGUACUGGAGCUUUGGGUGCUUGUACUGUUUUCGGAAUAUUGCUCCUAUCCUUCCUCCUUUCUUUUUUUGUAAGCAACCCCACCGCAUCUUCAACGUUCUUCCACUUCGUUGUCAAUCCUUCAUCUUCUUCUUUGUCUUCAAGAAGGGGUUCUAAUUUCUCUUGCAAUUCUCCAUCAGCAGCUUGAAGAAAUAGAUCAACUUUGUUCGGCUCUAAUGUCAAUUUUUCUACCUUCGAUAAUUGAAAGUACUGCCUCUCAAAUUCCCUUAGUAGCUCUGUUGCUUGCAAAUUCUUAUUGGGCCGUUCAAUCCAUCCCAGAAACAGCUUCUUAGUAACGCGAUCAGCAUCUUCCAAGAAAUAUUCGUCUUUCAAUGCAUGUGAAAAAUCCUCCCAUGAAUUCCCACAACGAUCCGUAAUCGAUGUAAUGUGGUCCCUUAUCUCCGGUAUCGUGGCAAGUCCAAAUAGUGCAACCAUUUUCUUCUCAGAAACCCGAUUUAAUUCCAUUUCACGAACAUAACAUCUUAAAUACCUUGAAAUAUUCCUCCCAUCAAAUUGAUCAAUUUUAUUGACCACUGCUUGCAAUGCUUUGGUUGCCAAAGCUUCCUUUCGAUCAUUGCUUUGCUGUUGCUGCAUUGACAAUGAGAAGGCUUGAAACAAACUAGCAAUAGACGGAUCCAUGUGCAUAUCUUGUCCUUAAGAAGACUCCCCACCAGAAACUUCUCUCAAAAAUCCUUCAAAAUUUUUAUUUUCGUUUUCCAUAAAAAUAAAGAUAAAAUCAACCGAAAUCCAAUACCUUCUACCUCAAGCUUUCACGUCGGGUUCACCACUUAUGUCGUAAUACGUGCUUUCCUGCUCGAGAACGCGCCAAGCGUCUAGCUAUAGAAGAUAGUAUGGAGAUCCGCCGAUAGUCAAGCAGUCUAUCAGUUUUUACUGCUGGAAUAUAAACGAAUGCAAGAAUACACCGUAAAUCUUUACUGAUGCCCUUCAACUGCUUGUCGAAGUCCUUUUUUUUUGCCCCAGCCGGUAGGUCUCUAGACGUUACACAGAACCCCGAACAACCCAAACUGUUAAUCUUCAAUACCCCUUUGUACUUACGAUCUUGUAUCCACUGACUGUCCUGUUAGAUUAACCCAAUAAAUUUCAUUCACUCCGCAUACUCAAUCCUAUAAACACCCCUUUAAUCCUUCAAUCACAGACGUAACUCGAUUUUACAAAACAGUCAAGAGUAUUCAAACCCACUUCAUUUAAAAAUCAUGAUUCACCAUUACAACACUGACUUCAGCAGCGAUUGCCUCAGUCGUCCCAAAACUCUAUGAAGAAGAAAAAUCCAAAUUCUAUGUCUUUCCUUCCCCGACCCGAAGCAUGAAGCUCCUCUCUCUAAUUCCCUUGAUCUUCCAAAAACCUCCAAUGAAAAACCGAACUGGUAACCUUGCAAAAGCUUGAAAACUCGCUCCUCCCCCGAUUCCCCCCCUAACCUUAUCCUCUGAAUUUCUUCAAUCUUCCGUCUUAGAUCCAGAAUUGGCUCCCACCUCAAGCUUGGAUUCGAAAUUGGCUCUCGCCGUCAAGCUUUCUCCUCCGUUUUUACCUUUAAGAAAUCUAUUUAUCGAAAACAACGUUCCCUGAAACGGCACAGAGAACAGGACAGCCUGAAACAGAAUCGAACCCCAUAAUCGAGACCACAUUGAGUCGCCCGACCAAUUGAGGUCCUAUAUUGGGAAAGAUGCCCGUAGUAACCUGGAUGUUCCCGUAAUUGAAUCAAAUUGGUCCUCGCGUCAGAUUGGCUAAGACCCGUAAUAAGACCUGGAUUUCCCGUAAUUAGACUGCAUUGGGUUGACCGACCAAUUCAGGUCUCAUAUUGGAUAAGAGGACCCGGAUUGGAUUAUCAAAAUUAGAUCCAAUUGGCUCCUCAAACCCGUCGUGUGAAUUGGUCCUUCUCUUCUUGCUGACUCCCGUUAUUGGAAUCGAAUAGAGCAUUUCAGUAUGCCCCGGCUGACUGUAACGGAGUGACUGAACCUGACCACUCAGUAUUUGUACUGGAGUUGGUUGAUGCUCCCAAUAUUCGAGGUAACUGAAUAUUAAUAAAAUUCCCCUUUCUUUUUAUUUUCACUGUAUACUCGUGUUACAACACGACAAUGGGAACUUCAACGUUAUUACUCAAUGGCAACAUCAACAUCUUUGCCAAAUGUACAUUCGAAAGUAGAAGACAUACAAAUUGACGCGGUAUGUUUUAAACUCCUAACUGAGCAAGAAAAGAUUCGUCGUCGUCAAGAAGGAUUAUGUUUAUAUUGCGGAGAACCUAAGCACACUGCUCAACAUUGUCCAAAGAAACGACGCAACUAUAAAAUGAGGGGUACGGCGGUCAAAGAAGACAACAUGUCGAAAAACGGAUUCGUCUAGCUACAAUAGGGACCAUGCAGUUGGAACCUUAUACAAUUCCUAAUGAAGGUCCUAUCCUCUCCUCAGAACCCUCUCCUUGUUUUAUAAUAGACUUAUAUUUAGGACCUAAGAAUUACAAAGCCUCUGCUUUUUUAGAUUCGGGAGCCUCAGCAUGUUUUUUAGAUGAAUAAUUUGUUAAAAGUCGUAAAAUACCUUUUAUACAGAAACCUAAACCAGUACAUGUAGAAGUCAUAGAUGGUCGUCCCUUGUCUUCUGGAGAUGUCACUCAUGAAACUCAUCCUAUAAAAGUAACAAUAGACGGUCAUGAUAGCUACAUAGCUUUUAACAUAAUUAAAUCCCCAUCCAAUCUAGUUAUUUUAGGUUUAUCCUGGCUAGAAAAAUAUAACCCUCGAAUAGAUUAGAAUUUGAGUAAACUUGACUUUUCCCAGAGCGUUAUUAAUAGUUCUACCAACCAAGUAAAAAAUUAUAAGUUUAAUAUAAUAAAACCCGUACUGAUAGGUGCAAAAGCAUUUAUACACACAGCAAAAGAAAGAUCAACUUUUGCUAUUUAUGCUGCACCUAUUUCUGAAAACGUAAAGACUUCAAGUGGCAUUCCAAGUCAAUAUCAGGAGUAUCAAGACGUUUUUGAGAAAAAGAAUGCAGAUAUUCUUCCUGAGCAUCGCCCAUAUGAUUGUUCAAUCGACCUCAAGGAAGGAACUCAGCCACCAUUUGGACCAAUUUACAGUUUAUCGCAAGAUGAGUUGGAUGAACUCAAAACAUAUAUUGACGAGAAUUUAGCGAAGAAUUUCAUACGCCAUUCAAAAUCUCCAGCAGGAGCUCCAAUUCUAUUCGUAAAGAAAAAAGACGGAUCUUUACGAAUGUGUGUUGAUUAUCGAGGACUCAACAAGAUCACAAUCAAGAACAGGUAUCCAUUACCUUUGAUAUCAAGACUCCUUGACCAGUUGAAUCAAGCUAAGAUCUAUACAAAAAUAGAUCUAAGAGGAGCAUAUAAUCUAGUACGGAUCAAAGAAGGAGAUGAAUGGAAGACUGCGUUUCGAACCAGGUAUGGACAUUUCGAAUAUAAUGUCAUGCCCUUUGGACUCACAAAUGCACCAGCUGCUUUUCAACAUCUCAUGAAUGAUGUAUUUCGUGAAUUCUUAGACAAUUUUGUCGUCUGCUAUCUAGACGAUAUCCUGAUCUAUUCUAAGAACGUCAAAGAACAUGAAAUACAUGUUCGUCAAGUAUUACAAAAACUUAAAGAUGCAGGAUUGUACGCCAAGAUGGAAAAGUGUAUAUUUCACACUACUCAAGUUGACUUUUUAGGAUACAUCAUUUCAAAUGAUGGUCUCAUGAUGGAUUCUAAGAAAGUCCAAACAAUCAUAGAUUGGAAGAUUCCAAGGACAGUAAGAGAUGUCCAAUGUUUCUUGGGAUUUGCCAAUUACUAUCGGAUCUUCAUCAAAGAUUUCUCACAAGUUACAGCUCCACUUGCACGCUUGACUAGUAAAGAUAAAUUCCAAUGGAAUCAAGAAGCGGAAGCAGCAUUUGAAGCCUUGAAGACAUCGUUUGUCUCUGCACCAGUCUUAUAUUGUGUUGACUUUUCCAAGGCAUUUUUUAUGAAAACAGAUGCAUCAGAUUUUGCCUUGGGUGCAGUUUUAUCACAAAUGGGAACAGAUGACAAACUUCAUCCGAUAGCUUUUCAUUCCAAAAAAUUCUCAACAGCCGAGAUCAAUUAUGAGAUCCACAAUAAAGAACUUCUUGCAAUCAUGGAUUCCUUUCAAGAAUGGCGUCAUUAUCUAGAAGGCGCUUCUAGUCCAGUCACUGUGUAUACAAAUCACAAGAACCUCGAGUAUUUCAUGUCAGCACACAUGUUGAAUCGGCAUCAAGCUCGUUGGAAUAUGUCUUUGUCAAGAUUCGAGUUCAUUAUCACUUAUCAGCCAGGAAAACAACAAGGUUUGUCCGAUGCCCUAUCUAGACGUUCUUAUUUUGCACCAAAAGAAGGAGAUGUAGCUUUUGAGCAACAAAGAACGGUCCUCUUGAAACCGGAGCAAUUUCAUCUUCGAGCAAUGAAAUCAACAUUGACGGUUGAUUCAACUUUUCUCAAGCAAAUCCAGUCCAGUAUGUCCUCAGACCCUCUUGUUUAUGAUAUCGAGAAUAAUUCUUCCAAGUCUCAUGAUCCUUCUAAGUUCGAGUUCAAGAAUAAUCUAUUAUAUUUUGAAGGACGCCUAUAUGUUCCAGAAGGAGAAGCACGUUUACGUGUUCUUCAAGCACAUCAUGACUUUCCAGCAGCAGGGCACUUUGAAUAUAAUAAGACUUUGGAACUCAUAUCAAGAGAUUUUUGGUGGCCACAAAUGUAGAAGUCAGUCAAAGACUUUGUACAAUCAUGUGAUAUUUGUUCAAGAUCAAAAAUUCCUCGUCAUCGACCUUACGGACUUCUUCAGCCAUUACCUAUCCCAGAACAACCAUGGUCUUCUGUUUCUAUGGAUUUCAUCACAAAUCUUCUAAGUUCAAGAUCUUAUGAUUCUAUAUUUGUGAUAGUAGAUCGUUUCACCAAGAUGGCACAUUUUAUGCCAUGUACAAAAUCUAUCACAGGUGAAGAAACAGCUAAGCUUUUCAUUGAUAAUAUCUAUCGCUAUCAUGGAUUACCUAAAGAUAUCAUAUCGGAUAGGGGAACUCAAUUUGUGUCAAGAUUCUGGAGGACCCUUUUCAAGAUUUUAAAAAUGGACAUAAAGCUAUCUUCGGCUUUCCAUCCUCAAACUGAUGGACAAACAGAGCACGUAAACCAAGUCUUGGAGCAAUAUUUAAGGUGUACUAUCAACUAUCAACAAGAUGAUUGGACAACCUUUCUGCCAUUGGCAGAAUUUGCUUAUAAUAAUACGGUACAUUCUUCCACGGAACAAACACCUUUCUUUGCCAAUUAUGGCUAUCAUCCACGACUUGAUACUUUUGAUUUUUCAAAAGUUGAUAAUCCUGCAGCAGAAGAUAUGGCAAAUCGGUUGUCAGAGUUACAUGCAAUAAUGAAGACACAAUUGAAGGAAGCUCAAGAACGACAAAAGAUAAACGCAGAUCUAUAUCGUAAGGAGUAACCACAAUUCAACGUGGGUGAUAAGGUAUGGCUACUUUGUCGCAAUAUCAAGACUACUCGACCUUGUGACAAGUUGGACUAUCGUAGGCUUGGCCCCUUUUCUAUUUCUGAACAGAUCAACCCAGUUGCAUAUCGGUUACAUCUACCGGAGUCAAUGAAGAUCCAUCUUGUAUUCCACGUGUCUCUUCUUGAACCAUAUAAGACAAUGGAUAUACAAGGAAGAAGACAAAUGCCACCACCUCCUACAGAAGUAGAUAAUAAUGAAGAAUUUGAAGUGGAAGAGAUAUUAGACUCAAGGCGGCGCCGAAAUAAGCUGGAAUAUUUUGUUCAUUGGUGCGGAUAUGAUAUUAGUGAACGCACAUGGGAGCCAUCCAGGAAUCUAACAAAUGCAUCAGCUAAAGUCAAAGUUUUUCAUCAACGACAUCCAUCAAAACUAAGAUGAAAAUCUCUCUUAUAAAAGAGACAAGAUUGAGGCAAGAUAACAUUCAAUUUCCUAUCCUUGUUUGUAACUUCUUUGCAUUUGUGACGCUAAUUAGAUGGAGAGCUAACAACCAGCGGAUUCAACUCAAGAACCUUCGUUUGCUGACCUGCUGGACGAGAUAUUACGAUUGUCACAACCUUCAAGACGACGCAAUCGAGAUGAAGAUCUUCAAGAACGACAUGUUCUUCCUCGAAUAGAUGGUGAGAUACAACGUGUUUGGUAUCACGAUUUGGGAAGGGACUCCCGAUGUUUGGUGAUUUUGCUAGAGGUAGGAACAACUCCUGAUGGUGUUCCAAAUAUUCUAUUCGAAGGAAGUUACGAAGGCCUCAACAAUGAUCAAAUAAUUGGGUGGUCUUCCCGCCCUGGUAUGGGACACUACCGAUGGUUGAGAGGCCCUAUCAAUCAUCUUCGAAGAGAACAGAGAUCAGAGUAUGUGGCGAAUACAAUUCGUCGCAUCAUAGAUUUCCUCAACAUAUGAUGACCGCUCCUCGUGGAACUCGUCUCUAGAAGGGGGGGUAAUGUCACGGCCAUAAUCAUGUAAGCUAAUAAUUACAUAUAGAAAUAGGUAGAAGUAAGUAAAAGUAGAAAAAAUAAGUUAAUUCUAUAAUAUUUAAUAUGGAAGUUUUCUAGAAACUUCCUAGACGCUGCUUUGACUUCAUAGGUGUCUUUAAUUGACUUUUUGGAUUAGAAACGUGGUCAACAAGUUGGUCAUGUGCCACACAUGUUGUUAGCUUGAAGAUCAAGCUAACUAUGUGGCCCACACGUAGAAAAACUUGCCUUGUAAGUCAAGGCAUGUGUCCUACAAAGUCAACACAUAUUGGAGGUCCUAUAGAACGUCACCACGUAGCCCCUAGUUAGAUAGUAUAUAUAGAGACAAGAGUGAAGGCUUCUUCACUCUUGUCAACUCCUUUUUUGCUCCUAGUCCAGGUUCAAGAGUCUUUAGUUUCUUGUCUUGUGGCAAUAGCCAUUCCAGUUUCCUUUAAAUAUACAUACUUGUUUAUAUUUUGACUUAUUAUAUCGAGAUAGCCUUUUUGUGUAUAUUUUCCCUCAUCGAGUCUUUGUCCUUGACAUAUAUGUAACUUAUUAUUACAAAAUAAUAAAAUUAAUUAAUUACAAAUUUAGUAGUUUCUUUUUUGGCUAUAUAUAAAUUUAUAAUAUGUAAUAGAUGUAUAUAUUGGAUGUCGAAUGUAUGACAUAUUUAAAUUGUGUUAUAAAAAACUUAUUGCCAUCUCUUCUUAUACAAUAUUAAUUAAAACACUUUUUACAUUUAAUAUAUAUUAAUCCUUCUUGUAUUUAUUUGAAUAUUUUUUAUAAAUUAUAAUAAUUAUUAAUAUUUUAUUCUUUGAUGUCUUUUUUCUUAUUGUAUAAAUGAAAAACUUCAUUUAAUUAAAAAAUAGAUUGAGAAAUUUAUUCAAAUAUUGAAUUUUUUACUAUAUUUUAUUAACUGAUCUUUGUAUGUUGCAAUAUUCCAAAAUAAUUGGUAUUUACAACCUAAAUAGUAUUAUUAUUUUGAUUGAUUUAUUGAAUUUUAUAUUUAUUGAUAAAAUUUUCAAUUUAUAAAUUUAUAAAAAUAUUUGAGAUAAUUUAUAAUAAGUCCAUUUCAAAAAUGUAUAUAAAUACAAGUAUAAUUAUAUUUAAAUCUAACUUAAUUAUCAAUUAUACAUCACAUCUAGCUAAAUCUUGUAUUUAAAUUAUGUGUAUUUUUUCUUUUACAAACCCUAUGCAAAAGUAGCACCUUCAAUGAUAUUUAUGUUUUUGUACAAGAAAUAUAUAUACCUAUAUAUAUAUAUAUAUAUCAAUUUUUCACAAUUAUACAUAUUCUAAUUACAAUCAUUUUCAAUCAUGUGCAAGAGGUAUAUAGAUUCUCAUAACCAACCAACUAGGAUUUGAUCGCCACCUACAAAUCUUCAAAACACGAUUUGAAGGCCACCUGUAAACACAAAAUAAAUGACCGAUUAAAGCCGUCAAUAAACAUGCACCUAGCAUAAGAUCUUGUUUCCAAACAGAUUUUCCAUCUAAUGAUUUCUUUCAGUAACUUCUUUAUCAUUUUAAAUACUUCUUCACCAGACGAAUGCUGUCCCAACGUUGCAGGUUGAGAAAUGGCACUCUAAUCCACAGAAUCAAAUCAAAAGAAGACUUAGCCUCUACGAAUGGCAACAUCAGUUGCACUUGAGUCGGUAAGUGAUCGGUACCGACCCGGAAUGGCAUUGGAUGUCACGCCAAGAAAUCUACGUCGAAGGUGUAAUCCGCCUAAUUGACAUCUAACGUUGGUUAAAUCUGCUGAUUCUCCGAAACAAACAAAAAAGGAAAAAAACAAAAAACAAAAAAAACACAGCAAAAAUGGUGGAAUGUGAAUUAGGUUUAAGAAACUUAAGCAGAUGAUGGAAAGUUGAGACGAAGGAGAUGAUCGAUCAAGGGAGGGUGAAGUUGCCGACCACUGUUCUGAUCAUGGACUCAGUUGUUGGAAUGUGAACGGCACUUCGGAUGAUGCUUGAAGUUCGAGAUUGUCCAGAUUGUCUGGAUUUCUUUCAAGGAGAUCAUCUUUUGACACCUCCUUGACUGCCUUUGCUGAUGCCCAACAUUCAGGAGAGGAUCAUCUACAAUCGUCAGACCAAUUUGCGUGACCAUUUGACGUUCGUUUGUCACAUUGCACUCAAAUCGACCACGAUGGAGAUUCAGCAGUUGUGAAAAUCUUUGACAAACCCUCUCUCGGAGCAUAACCUAGUGCAGCUGAGAUAUGCUCAAAUUUCGAAGCUCGCAGAUCGUGAAAGGAGGUGCGUAAUUUGAGAUAGGCCGAGGUGGACCUAACAAGGGAACAGUCCACAUUGCUUGAUUACCAACAACAUAUCGAGAAAGCAAGGAUAUCUCGAAUGAACAAAAAGUUAACCCUAACCAAAUCCAGCGCAACCCACAAACCGUAAUGGUUAAAUAAAACUUCGCAUCAUGCGGAACACCGGCGUACCCACACAGCGGACGCUUUCGAGCCUUGAAGACGAGGUAGAGAUUGGCAGAAAGGCGGAGACCAACAUAGAUCCGCAUCAAACUUGCGAAGCGUCUAACGUAAAGUGCAAUGGGAAGCAUAUCUGCCUGCGUGUAGCAGAUAAGGGAAGAAUCGGAAGCUCAUUUAUCUCGGCCUAUGACGAUGAGAGCUUUGAUUGUGUGCUUGCGAACGUCGUGACAACUACUGAGAUCCACUGGCUGUUGAUCGCCACAGAUUCCCUUGUCCCCUUUGGCAUUGCUCACGGCCCUCCUUGGUCAUCGCAGAUGCUUUCACAAGCGAUGUACGCGGCGCAAUCAGCUCAGGUUAACAUAUACAUCAGUUGGAUGGUUUCCAGUCUGUGCAAAGAUGCCGCUGGUCCCACUGGUCUACACAUUGACCGAGUAAAAACUUCAUUUUUGGGUUUACUCUUCGAUGAAGAACAAUCAAUGCUCGUCAGCUGAAAGAAAUUUGUGCUUCGACGAGAGGACGUAUCUGGCAGUCAGUGACAAUCAGGCGAAGUAAAUGUCCACACUUCCAAUUCAAUAUUGAAAUCUGAAACAGCAACUCUGCAACACCAACUAUUUUGAGGCUAUUUGUGCAAUUAAGUCGAGGUUGAUUGUUAAAAGCUUAUAAUCAUCGCCAGUGAUAACUUAAUAUCUUAUCGUUCUGUGGUGCGUUGGCAAUCACACUGUCUGGAAAAAUGUGAGUAAUUCGCUUCUGUGACCCCUGCUUAGACUGCUGAUUUUUUCUUAAAUUCUCACCGUUACUGCUCGUACAUCACAUCCCCGAGUUCUUUUUCUUUUUCUUCCCCGAUUUGAGCCUUUGUAGAGAUGCUCGCACAAACCCACUUUCUAGCAAAUUCUUUAGAUCAACAGUUGCGCUGCUUUCAUUAUGAUUUGCUGAGACGCUGAAGGAUUGCACCGUGCAAGACAAAUUCGUUGAGGAACAAACGGAGUGAAAUGGUCCAUGUCGUCCAGGAAAUACCCUAAUUUGUCUUGCUCCCUGGUCGAUGCCUAAACAUACAUGUGGCUGGGACAAAACGGCUUGAGUGACACAUGGUGGCGUUGGCGUAAAGGAAUCAAUCGUCUUAAUUUAGGAGGAAGGAUAUGGUGGGCCGACCAGCUACAGUUGGCAAUCCUUCUUUGACAUUGUUUUCUUGGUCCUCGCGACUGAUCAUCUGCUCCAAACCACAAUUUGCGUCCCACACUUGCAAGGUGAGAGGUGGGACGGGGGGACUGCCCGUCGCCGUAGUGCAGUCAACCCUCGAUGUAAGCACGAUCUCGUGUGCCUGUAGCUCAAUGCUUCAUUCUACUGUCAAUACUGUGUUUCAUUGUCUCUUGUCGCCGAUUCCCUGUAGUGGGUUUCCGGCUGUUCCUGCCAUCUUGUAGAAUUCUCCAUCUCUCCUCUUCCUGUUCUUCGAUCUCUGCUCUGUGCGUCUCAAGUUUUGGCCUGCUAACGAAUACUCGAGAAUAGGGCUUUGUGUUUUGUACAUAUAUUUCUGCACAGUUUGUAAAAAGGCUAGACGUAUUAAUCUUGAUUCUUUUAAGUGGAAAAGUUGGCAGGCGAACAUAGACAGGGGGCAUUGGCGCAUCGGUUGUCUUUCGUGACCACACCCUUAUGUGGAUCAACCAUUUUCUUCCGAUGCUACUCGUCUCUGUGCAGAGUUUGUAGUAUGUCUUUUCUUUGCAGGAAACACCGUUUGAAGGAGACACAGACUGGCUUGAAGGUGCCAGGUCCCAGCGAGAUCGUGAUGGCAGAAUCGGCGCAACGAUUUGCAAAGGCGAGCGUAAGUAAACGCACACAAGUAGACGCAAGGUUAGCAUUAGAUCCGGCUCUUCUUUCUUUGCCAUUCUCCUCUUCUACACGCAUUCAAAGGAUGAUAAAGCGUAGAGGUGAAUUCGCCAGCCAAUAUGAGUAUGAGAUUGAAUCCUCCAAGGACCAUUGGAGCGAGCUGGAAUCGAAAUUUGAUUUGAAUCAACCUGCCCUUGCGGACGUCAAAGUUCCCGAUGUUGUUGAGAAGCAACGUUCCAGGAGAUUUGGUCACUUUCGAAGAAAGCUUGGUGAAUUGUUCUCGCACUUGCGGCUUGGUAGAUUAUUCUCAUGUAAUUUUCAGUGUAUGCAGUGUGCAAACUGUGUAUCUGUAGAGGAUCAUCAGCACCACGUCAAUCACCUACAGUCUUUAGAAUCCUUAGAGCUUGAGGACGCUUCAGACUCCGAAAUCGAAGAGACUAACCGGGAAAUUCUUGAGAGGAUCAAGAAGCAGUGGGGCGGGUUCUUCUCGGAGAAAUGGGGUGAUAACCUAGUGCUCGGUCCCAAAAUUGCAGAGGGAGGGCAGGCAGAGAUCUUUGAAGUGGAAGGCGGCGUGGACGUCAUUCGAAUGGAAUUUGUGGUGAAAGCCUUCAAAAAGGGCUAUUCUCUGCGAUCUCUGGAAACACAAUGGCCGCACGGAAUGCUUCAGAGCACCCCUGAAGGCCACUUGAGUCUCGUCAAUUCCUCCAUCAUCUUCGCCGGAACGGUCGUGGAGGACGACAGGUUCGCAUUUGUGAUGUACAAAUAUUGGGGCGACCUGCGCAAGCUGAUUGAUAUCAAAAUGGAGCAGCGAAGCAACCAGGGGCCUCCUUUUCAAGAAUGGCAGGCCAUAUCUAUCAUGCUGCAGAUAGCGAAUGGGAUGGAGCAGCUGCACAGGAAGGGGAUCCUCCACAAGGACCUAAAGACGUCCAAUGUACUCAUCAAAUUGGAUGUGAAGAAGCGGAACCCUCCCGAUCCAAGGCAUGCUUCGGAAUUCUCUUGUGUUGUUGCGGAUUACGAAUGCUCCGUCGGUGUCAUGGGGACAGGCUUCUGGAGGGCGCCCGAGGUUUUGGUCGCAGUAAUGGACGGUAACCUCGACCCAAGCGUGUUCACAGAAGAGGUAGAUGUGUACAGCUUCGCCAUGACGUGCUAUGAAAUCCUUACAGGAUGCAUACCUUUCGAAGACUUACAUGACAGCUAUUACGAUGCUGUUCUGAAUGGCCGGAGACCGGAGCUGCCGCAUCCAAUGAAUUCUCGAUUAACGGAAUUGUUGUGCAGAUGCUGGCACUCUAAUCCUUUAGAGCGGCCUUCCUUCGAAGAAAUUAGGAUUGCACUAGAAACCAUACAGCGAAGCUGCAUUGUAAUCUCAGAAACUCCCUCUCCUAAUGCAAGUCACAGAUCGAGUUAAGAACAUGUUUUCGGAAGAGCCCAAAUUAGCUUAGGUUGUAUUUUUGCAAGCUGUGUGUUACCCACCAAAUUCACAACGAUCUGAAGCGCGGUAAGAGAAGAGCUAACGAGAAGCAGAAGAAGAAGAAGAAGCUUUCUCCAUAGUUACCAUUUGCGAGCAAUUGCCACCAGCCUGUGCAAAAUCGCGAACUUCACCCUGUGGUGACGAAUUGGACGAGAGUUUCCAACCUAAAACCGGCUCGCAUGUUUGGGUUCACAAGCUCCAAGUCUCUCAUUUUCUCCAAUCCUUCUGAGUGCGUGGUUAUCCUUCCCCCAUUUCUGCGAAACUUAUCCUCACGCGCAUGCUUUUUCCCCUGUCGUUAGGCUGCCUUUCCAAACGAGAGCAUCACAAACAAUGACGCCGGAAAACGCCAAAAUGGUACCAGAAAAGCGAUCAGCAAAUUUGUAGAUUGUGGUGCCAGUUUUUGUCGAAGUCCGCAAACAACUUGUCACGUUUCGAUCGCGAGGAUCCUCGUUACUCUCAACGAAAGCCGCUCCGGCUAAGCCCUAAUUUCUAAACCCUUCGUAUAGGAAGGGUGAUUUAUAUUGAUUUUUAUAUAUAUACAUAUAUAUAUAACCAAGUAUGAUAUGGAUACAUAUAGUCGUUUUUGCAACAUAUUGAAACAUAUUACAAUAUCAGAAUUUAGGGUAAAUUUUUUGUAUGAUUAUUAUUUUUUUUAAAUGUCUUCAAAAAAAGUUAUUCUUUUCAAAAUUAGGAUAAAAGUGAUGUCACAUGUUUCCUUUGUGACAAGCUUUUCCUCUUUAUAUGAUUUUUAACCACUUGUAUCUUAAUUUAUAUUUAGUAUAUAUUUUUAAAUAUAUAUAUAUAUAGUAAAUACUUUAGCAUAUAUUUUAGGUGUUUUUUAGGAGCACAUGCAAAUAACACUGACAAAAUUAGUCUAGAAUUUUAAAGAUUAUGUUAUGGAUUAAAGAAGAAAAUGAAGCCUUUUAUUUAUUUUUAUUUUUUUAAUCUAUUAUAAAAACAUUAAAAUUUUAAAUUCCAAGCAAGGAAAUUAACAAAGUCUAAUAGAAUAGGACUUUAAAACACAUUAUUUAAAAAUAUAUAUAUAUAUAUAUAUAUAUAUAUAUCAAAGACAAAAAUAGCUUCAUGUUGGUUGUCAAAUGUAGUUUGUAAAACAAAAGACACAUCUCUACCUAUGAUUGUGUAUAGAUGGGAGUAUUAUAUGAUAAUAUUGCCUUAUAAUCAUAUCUUUUGCCUGACAAUGUUCAUGGGAUAAUAUAAAUAUGAUAGAAAUUAUUAAAAACCAAGAUAAAAGAUAAAUAUAAGGUUUUGAUGCAAACAAUGCAAUUUAAAGCAAUGGAAUCUAAAUAAUUAAGUAUCUAAGCAAGACUUACAUUCUACCUACUACAAAUACCAAAGUUGGAUUAUUAUAUAAUUUAUAAGAAUGAAAAAAAUACAAAAAUAUAAAAUAUAAGAAGAUUUGUAGAUCCAAAUUUAUUAUAAGUAUGCAUAUUAUUUAUAGAUAUGACAAGUCAUAUUUUAAUAAUGUAAAUAAGAUUAGAAAUAAUGUUUCUUUUUUCAUGUAGAAUUGGCUACAUUAUUAUUGCCUUUUGUACUUAAGUAUUCAAAACUUCUAUUUAAAACUAUUAACAAAUUACUCACUCAAACA
rnacentral:lncRNA from 1 species